rnacentral:lncRNA from 1 species
UCCAGCCAAGAGGCGGAAACCAACCAGCUUGGACUGUACGUGUUUAAGUUGGACAAAUCUAAGGAGCCUGUGGAUGAUUGUCAAGUGACACUGCUACACAGGCCUGACCCUGAAUGCAAGAUUUCCCACGAAGUCGACCCUAACAACAAAUCGAAAACUGCACCGGUGGCCACCCGGAAGCUCAACCUAUUGGAAGGAGACAGCGUCGAUGUCAUCGCACCAAGCCACCGCGUUGCCUACCCUCUUGGUUUGGUAGUUGAGAAAGCUCAUCCCGAGUGCGAGCAGUUCGCCAAAGCGCGCAAGCAUUUUCAGAACUAAUUUAAGGAAUUGAAGAUGAAAACCGUCUGAUAUUAAAUCAAUCUCCAAUUUCAGUGAAUUUUUCUUUUUGAUUGCAAAGAGAGAUGAAUUUUUCUUUCUGAUAUUCACAGUUAUGUUUCGUGAAUUCACAACAAGUAUAAACAAAGAAGUGUAAUUAGAAGUGCACUCAAGUAUUAUAUCCGUGAAGAUAUUGCCAUGUCGAUUAAUCUAGUCUUUUUAUUUUUUACUUUAUUAAUUCUUAAUUAAGAUUCAAUUUAGGACCUAUUUAAAGAGAAGUAAAAUACGAUUUAAAAUCUAUCUUAUAACCUAAUAAUCUCCUAAUCAAAAUACUAAACUUUUAACAUGUCACCUAUCAAUUUAGCCCUUAAUUAUACUAAGCUUAAAUUCCAUGGUCCAUACUAGUUUGAUUUUUAUUUUUUAUUUUGGUGUGAAAAUUUGGUCUUUUCUUUUAAAUAAUGUGCUAGAUAGUGUGAAAGUAGCAAAUAAAUAGUGAUGUGUGCAAAUUGGAUUUGACACAUAUCACAACCCAUAUCAUCAUUAAGGCCCUAAAAAUUCAAUCAUUCUGUGCCUGGUUAAUACGUUAAGUAGUUUAUGAAAUGAUUAAGAUCGAAGAGGAUCCAUGACUUGUAAUGGAUCACUUGUUCAUUUCCUUAAAAUAAUAAAAAAAUAAACUCGCAAUACCGACUCCAUUCGUAAUUCCAUCAAUUACUCGUCUAUCAAAAAAAUAAGUUAGUUUAGCUAAUCUUCUUAUACUGUUAGUAAAGGAUAAUGUGAAAUUAGGAAAUAAAUAAUGAUUAACGGACCCAAAACAUUGAAUUAUUGUGUGCCCAGUCAGAAAUUCUUCGAGGGCACGUAGACAGGUCCCCAUCUAGUAUACUAUGAGGAAAAGGACAGCCCACAACAAGUUUAUGUCUAUAAAAUGCCAGAUGCUCAUUGAAUGUCUUGUGCCCAUGAAAGAUUAAAUAUAUUUUCACAGAAUGCGUACCAUGGCUCUCACAAAUCAAGGCCAGUACCUCUGCUUAGCUUUUCUUUUCAUUUUGGCCAUUUGCUCCUCUCAAGCAUCGUCACGCCAAAUUUAUGAUGAGAAAACCAUGUUGGCGAGACAUGAAGACUGGAUGGCUCAAUUUGGGCCAGUUUUUUUUGUAAGGAUGCUGAGGAGAAACAGAGGCGAUUCGUGAUAUUCAAGGCCAACUUGGAGUUCAUUAAGCUUUUAACAAACACAUGAGCCAGAACUACUUCACUCUAAGCUUAAAUGAAUUUGCAGACCUAACCAAUGAGGAGUUUCAGGAAAUUCGUAAUGGUUACACGAAACGAUCCUCCAAAUCGAUCAUGUCCAAUUCCACGAAAGCUACAUGUUUCAGAUAUUGAAAUGUCACUGAUGUGCCUCCUUCAGUGGAUUGGAGAGAAAAGGGUGACGCCUAUCAAGGACCAAGGCAAAUGUGGUAAGUAUUAAACAAGUUGUUAAAUGAUGAUGCAUUCACUUUUUCACAACAUAACAUGUUAUUGAGUGAUGAGGCAUGUUAUUUCAAUUUUAUAGGGUGUUGUUGGGCGUUCUCAGCAGUGGCAGCGACAGAAGGGGUUAAAAAGCUCAAAACCAGAAACUAAAUCUCAGUAUCAGAGCAAGAGCUUGUGGAUUAUGACACUACAGGUCAAGGUCAUGGCUGUGAAGGUGAUCUAAUGGAUGACGCUUUUCAAUUCAUCCAACGCAACAAAGGCUGACAACUGAAGCUAAUCACUCCUACCGGGGUGUAGAUGGAACUAGUUGCAACACUCAGAAAGCUGCAUCCCAAACAGUGUCCAUAAACGGGUACGAGGAUGUGCCUAAAAACAACCAAAAUGCUAUGUUGCAAGCCGUCGCUAACCAACCAAUUUCGGUUGCCAUUGACGCAAGUGGCUGUACCUUCCAGUUUUAUUCAAGUGGGGUGUUCACCGUGGUAUAAACUUAGAUCAUGGUGUUACUGCAGUUGGAUACGGGACUAGUAGUGAUGGGACUAAAUACUGGCUGGUGAAGAAUUCUUGGGGCACAGGGUGGGGGGAGGGUGGAUAUGUGAUGAUGCAAAGGGGCAUUCCUGCCAAGGAAGGACUCUGUGGCAUUGCUAUGGAAGCUUCUUAUCCAACCGCAUGAUUAAUUAAAAUGCAUAUAUGUCAUAAUCAGCCCCGAUCUCUUGGACCACAGGGGUCCAAGAGACUAUGGUCACCCACCGUUAGAUGUAACAUCCAACGGUUCAAAAAAGUUUCUUAAAAGGAGUGCAAGAGUGAGUGAAUCGUUGAAUUUACAUCCAACGGUGAGUGACCACAAAUCUCUUGGAUCCCUAUAGUCCAAGAGAUCAGGACUGAUGUCAUAAUAUAGUGUGGUGUAUAAAAUAUGUAUAAUUGAAUAAUAUAGAAAGACGCUAGCUAUGAGCUGCUAUCCUUCCACUUUGAAAUCCAUGCCUCAAAACAUAGAAACAAUUAACCCAUGACGUGGAUUUGCUCUUAAAAUCUCACGCAAUUAAUUAGCAGCUAUAGCUAUGAGGUUGACAUGUUUUCAUUACCAUUGCAAGGUUAAAUCAAGUUAGAUUAAGGGUGCAUAUUUUUGCUCACCAUCAUUCUUAAUACUUGACAUGUAUCUAUGGGUAUAACCAUGGUUAUAUAAAUAUAUAACUAUGAUUAUGUCAAUGAACAUACGUGUCAAGUGUUAAGAUGGGUAGUGAGAAUACACAUCUGGUUAAAGUGGUGAGUAAAUAUAUUCCCCUAGAGUAAUCACAUGAUCAUGUCAUUGAUCCUACAAGGUAAAACUGUGAAACGACGUCAUUAGACUUGUUCGUGGGUGGCAUGGAUUGGAAACAGGUAAUUAACCAUAGAGUAUGCUACACUUACCACAUUUUACCCCACAUUUCUAUACCAGAUGAUGUGACAUGUCCAUAUCAUAUGCCAUAUCAAUUAAAUCAAUGAAGUGUAUUGUAAUAAAGAAAGUUUAACUAACAGUUUUUUUUAAAGUGUUAAUAAAUCAUAAAAAGAAAAGAAAAUAUUAAAUAAUUUUAAUUGAUGUGACUGUCCACCUCAUCUGCCACAUAAGGUGGUAUGGGAAUGUGGUAUACAAAUGUGGUAAGAGUAGCAUUAUUCGUAGAGAAACCUAGGUAUUUAAUCCCAUAAUUUUGUAUAAAUGGAAAGCAUAUUACACCGGAGACAAUGAAAUAAAAAGAUGUCAAAGCUUUCAAUAAUACUUUAUAUUUUUAAAGAGGGGGAAGUACAAUAUUAUGAUGAAGAGAUGAGUCUUUUUGUCAAUUAAGAUGCACCAUUUAUAUAUCCUACAUCCACAUUACCUUUUGCAUGAUCCUGCCAUGAACAUCCAAAAAUGCAACGAUCUAGUUAAAAUUCAUUUCAUUGUUCCUAUAACUUGUUCUUCCUAUACACACACAAAUUCCAUGAAUUAAUUGACAAUGUGAUAUUAAUAUUACCAUAUAACAUUUUCAACAUUCUCAUCUCGUCCUUGCAUUCAAGUAAAGAAAAGAAUACACGUAUCCAUGGAUUGUUGAUGUCUAAAUUUGACUCAACGGUUUAAGAUCGUAAAAACAACACAUUCACAUCAUGACACACACUCAAGUCAGGCUACGUCCAUAAUAUACAAUUAGUGAACUGAAUUACAUGAAUCUACAAGUACGGGAUAUAAAUGCUACAAGCCCUACAUGCUACAAUAUCUGUCCUAUUUUUGGGUCAACCAUUCCUUAUUCUCUUUGAUAGUACAAUCGAGUUUACAUGUUAGGAUCCUAACGGGGAUAUUAAACGCUGAAAAGGAAAUAAUCAAUUCCCAAUAAGCCCUUAAUAUCAUCUAACCAAGAUACAAGCCUCAUAUAUAUCUUUACAAAUCUUUCUAGUUCUUAAAGGUUAUAGCAUCCAUGUAACAACCCGAUCCAAAAUUAAUAUUUAAUUAUUAAUUUAUUCAUGUAAAAGAUAUUUUUACCCCGGAAUAUUUUAAUGAUUUAAAAGUUUACUUUUUAUUCAGGAAGGAAUUUGGGGAUUUCAGUUGUACCGUUGCGUAGAGCACAUCGAGAUGAGUCUGUAGACACGUAAUGGGCUCAAAUUCGAGUUGUUACGAGAGAGAUAUGAUCAAAAUUCAAGUAAAAUCAUAAUUUUGCCAAACUGGUUUUUAAAACUAGAAUCUCUCUCUCUCUCUCUCUCUCUCUCUCUCUCUCUCUCUCUCUCUCUCUCUCUCUCUCUCUCUCUCUCCCUCCCACCGAGCAGCCCCUACCCUUCGAAUUUUGUUGCACGGCCAGUGGCUCCAAGAGCCACCACAGCCACCACUUGGGGCGGCACCGGUCCCAAAAGGACCAUUGUGAGGUCCUCUUCUAGUGCUACACGGUCUCCGCCGCCAAACACCAGCACAGCUGCCGGAUUCUGCGGAAAUCCAGUCGAAAUUGACCCGUUUUUCCUUCGAUUGUUUCAGACGUUUUCGGGGUCCAAAUUUUAUGAUUGAGGUAUGCUUUUCGAUCCUUUCGAGGUGUUUUCGCUGCUGGUUGUGUUAUUUAGGAGAAAUUUCUGCGUUUUGGUAGUCAAAUAAGUAAUAGAAGUUUCGGCCUCCAAUUUCAGCCACUUUCGGCCAUUUUUCAGGGUAGGUCCAAGAACAAAAGUAGCUCCAAUUGAUGUCCUGAACCUAGGGUAGGAAGCUUGGCCAUUAAUUUUGAGAAUUUUCCAGCGAUCGUUAUCGGUUUGGGCACCUGCGCGCUGCUAGCGCGUGUGGUGGAGCGUAGGCACUGUAGCAAAGGGGCAUUGUGUCCUAAAAUGAUCUCCUGGGCCUCACGAGCGCGUAGGUACUUUCGGAUUCCUAUUUGGUUAACGUUUGGACCCCAAACGGAUUUUGCCUAUUGUGCGAUUUCCGGGUUCGAUUCAUUUGAACCGUUGGAUCAUAGUCAAUUUCAUAUAUGUUGAUCUAGGUAAUUCCAUAAUUGUAUAUGAUUUGACGGAUCAUAAAACAAAGUCCCGGAUCCUCCGAAAAUACCAACCCUAUGGCUAGGUUUACACUAAUUGUCCGAUCGUGGGUAAUCCGACCGUCCGAUCGAGACCAAACUCUCGGAACAUGUGUCCUAGGAAUUUUGGAACCUCUAGAAACUUUCGGAUCGGUAUUUUGAGGGCGUAGACCCCAUGGGGUCCCGGGUUGACUUUUUGAGACUUUAUCGCUUUUGAGUCUUGUGUCUCUUUUAGACCAUCCUAAAUAUGGGAAAAGCUCAUGUGGGCAUAGGAAUGACUUUAAACUCGAGGCAUGCACUUCUAGGAGCGGGGGUCAUUGUUUCGGAUUAAAUAAUGAUGUUGAGUUCUAUUGGAAGUUGAUAUAAAGGUCGGGAUAUGGUUUUCAAACCCAUUACAGGAGUAACCCCUAGUUGCUUUGAAACAGUUUAUCAUUUAUAAAUAUUGCCCCACGAGUUCCACGGACACUCGAACCAUGUGGUGUGAUGAAUGCGGCUCAGGCUGACUAAUGGUCCCCUGAGGCCUGCGAGGAUUACGACUCGGAUAGAAGUAGUAUGUCUAAGGCCUGCAAGGAUUACGGCUCAGAUAAAAGUGGUAUCUCCGAGGCCUGCGAGGAUUGCGGCUUGGAUAGAAGUGGUAUCUUUGAGGCCUGCGAGCAUGGAAUUGACGAUAUUAAUAGAAUUGACGGAUCAGGAAUAGGGGUACGACUAGGUGGAGAGAAUUUCAGUUAUGAGAUAUUCAAGCACCUUAUUAAAGGGGAAGAACUACGUGUGGCUUGAUCCCUUGUUGAGGGUACGUAGGCAAUCUAGAAUUCUAGGUGCAGCCACGAGGUCAAGUAAUAAAGUUAGUCCAGUUGAGUUAUUAUGAAAUCUAAUACAGUUCUAGAGAUUUUAUAAGAAAUUGAAUUGAAUGUUGUUAGCAGAAUGAUUUAUUCGAUUUAUUGAGGCCGGAGGCUAGAAUAAUAAGAUGCUUGAUUUUUGGAUAUAAUUUGAUACAUGCUGGCAGUUGGGUUAAUAUAAACAUAUAUGCUUGUUUUACAGGUGGGAAUUUUUGGGAAAUGUUCAAUUUAGAGGGGAGACUCUAUUGAAUUUUUAGCAGAAGUCGUACUUGAAUUUCAUUGAAUUUUGGUUAGAAGGGCUUUUUGGUCAAUUGUGUCCGGCAACCACCAGGUGUCGGACACGCACAUAUACUAAGUACUGGCCUAGCUUCUUAAGAGCAAAAUUUUAAUCAAUUUUUUGCUUUAGUUUAUGUGUUGAAGGUAGUGUAGAGACGUAGAGAAGAAACAAAAUAAUUAUCUGAAAUUCAAACAUACAAAGCCAAAACCAGGGAUAAGAAUAUAACGAUAUAAACGAUAACAUUAAUAUUUAGCAAACUUACAUAAAAGCAGAAGGGCAAUAGUGCUUAACAAAAGCUUCGCAGAAGCAGCACUUGGAAUAUAAAAACACUCAAACACUCAAGCACUCAAACACUCCAAAGUACAAAGUUUAUUUCUGGAGGUGAUAAUUUUGCGAUGAUCUACAACUGAGGAGAGGUCCUCCUUUUAAAGCUUCAGGGCUGUUGUCGUGUCAAAUAAAGACAAUAAGUCACAAAUCAGCCUACAGUAGAGCUGCAUCUUCACUUUGAGGAUUCUCGCUGAACUUUCCCGCAAACAGUCAAAAAGAAAAAGCAAACUUUUUAUAAAAGCGAAAGCAGAGCUAAAGCAGAAGAAUCUUGCUUUAACCAGAGGAAAAAUACAGUUAAACGACAAGAAAGAAAAAACUACAAUUUUACAAAUUGUCUCUUAUCAGACAUAAUAUUACUGAGCCCACCAUAAAGCUCCGUAUGGAAAUUGUCCAUGUCUUCAUUAGCAAAAGGGUCCACCUCAUCUUCAGGCUGGGUGGCAGAUGCUGAAGCCAUAGAUUCGUCAUCCAGAUCGAGAAUUUCAAGGACUUUCUUUUUCAACUCUUCUUUAGAAGAUGAUGAUCCUGGCUGGUCUAUCCACAGUUGCAACUUUUGGGAAACAGUCAGAUUAGAAGAAGUGACCAAAGGCAGAGCAGCAGCAGAGGCGGGAGAUGGGAUAAGAGCUGGGACGAUCUUGGUGGGAGCCAGGUGAUCCCUAGUGAAUUUAUCCCACUAUCCGAUUAAGAUACUUCAGACUAAAUUUGGAAUAUAAGUCCAUUCCUCAUCAACAUCCUCCGAAAUAAUAUAUUCCCAUUUUAAUAUACAUGGUAGUUCAUACAUUAUCAUGAACCACAUGAAUAAGGUCCUUUAAUCAGGAUGGUUUUUAUUCCAUUUGCAAAAUUUCAUUUGAAAAUAUUCCUUAAUUUCAGGAGGAAGGUAUUCCAAAGUAGGACCCCAAAUCAGAAAGAAGCUCUUGAACCAAUUAGGAAGUUCUUUAAGAGCUCUAAGCUUAAACUGGAUAAACCAAGUAUGAGAAUAUUUUUGCUUUUGGAAACAUAAAACAUAUUCCCAUGCCUUUUUAUAAUCCCAUAAAUUAUAGGAAUAUGGCCAAAUUUCAAGAUGGAUAAAUCUCACUACUACAAAAAAGCAAAAAGACGACGGUAAAUCAUCGUCGUGUAUUCGGUUUUCCAAUGGUCGUGGAAUCCACCGUCAUCUUUUCCCUCAUAAACCACGACGCUAAAUCACCGUCGUUGUUAAAAUAUACAACGUCAUCAACAAAUACAAAACGACGUCUUUGUACUGCAAAAAGAUCUAAAAAAGCAGUCGAGGAUGAGAACAGGCGACCAACUCUCUAAAAACACCGUCGUUAAAAAGGAAAAAUAUGACACAUAUUAACAGAACAAGGCCGCAAGAUAGACAUACAACGACGAAAAUUAAAAUAAGACGCCGUUAAAUAUCAUUUUCACGACAAUAAAAAAUAUGGCGUCUUUAAAUACAUUAGAAGACGACGUUAUUGAUACCUACUACGUCGCCUAUAUAAAAACAGCCGUCGUAAAAUAAAUUUUCCACUUCGAUUUUUCUAUAAAAGAUGACGUGGAAAUAGUUGUCAGUGUCAUUAUUUACGACGUAUGUAUUUAUAGAGUAGACGUUGAACAACGAAACAACGUCGGUUACAAAUAUAUGAGAGUCGUAUUACAAAAUUUAUACGUCCUAUUUUCAGAAACAAACAACAACGAUAAAUAUUAGACGUUGUUAAAUAAAACAACGUCGAAAACAAAUAAAAACACACUUGUUUAGUCUGCUAAAGUUCUAAAAAAUAGUCGAGGAUGAGAAUAGACGACCAACUCAAAUAAAUCACCGUCGUUAAAAAGGAAAAAUAUGACACAUAUUAAAAGAACAAGGCCGCAAGAUAGACAUACAACGACGACAACUAAAACACUACGCCGUUAAAUAUAAUUUUCACGACAAGAAAAAAUAUGACGUCUUUAAAUACAUGAGAAGACGACGUUAUUGAAAUCUACUACGUCUCUUAUUUACAAACAACCGUCGUGAAAUAAAUUUUCCACUUCGAUUUUUCUAAAAAAGAUGACGUGGAAAUAGUUGUCAGUGUCAUUAUUUACGACGUGUGUAUUUAUAUAGUUGACAUUGAAAUGCGAAACAACGUCGGUGGCAUUUAUAUAGUCGACGUUGUAUUUAUAUGUAUUCAUUACUCACGACGCACUUAUUAAUAUAGACGACGUUGAACUUCUAAACAACGUCGGUUCCAAAUAAAUGAGAGCCGUAUUACAGAACAUAUAGACGGCGUUGAUUAUGAUGAGAGCCGUAUUACAAAUAACGUCGAUUAAUUGAUAUUAGACGGCGGUUAUAAUGAAUUACCGUCGGAAUUCAUUUCGUUCCUCUUCGUUUAUAAAAGAACUUGCGACGUGGAAAAUGUAUGAUGACGUCGUAUUUUUUAACAUUCAGAUUAUAUAUCUCGUUUUUUAGACGUCGAUAUUAUGGGAUUGGAGUCGUGUUAUUUUGAAUUACAUGGCGGUUCUUAAUCCUUCCCCGACGUGAUAUCCUGAAUAAUUACUUCACAAUAGCGUCGUGGUUCUUCAUUGUUACGUUGCUUUAAGACGUCGGUAAAUAUGCUGAAUAACUGGUUCACAAUAACGUCAUGUUUUAUUUGAACAGACGUCGUUUUUUAUGCAGAAUAUAAUGAUGUAAUCUGGAACCAGUAUUUUUUGCACUGAUUGUUUUGUGGCCAAAACCUGUAUAAUGAAAGUGAAGAAAUCACAUUACAAUAUAUUACAAAAUUAAUGUCAUACACUGCCAAUUAGGGGUGGGCAUUAGAACCGCAAAACCGCAAAACCGAACCAAACCAAACCGAAAAAAUCCGGAAAAAACCGUGUUGACUAAAAAAGUCAAAAACCGAGUCAAAUCUGAACCGGACCGGUUCAGACCGGUUCCGGUUCCGGUUUUCUACUACAAGGAACCGUCCAAUCCGAACCGGUCCAAUAUAAUUAAUUAAUAUAUAUUUUUUAUAUUUUAUAUAUUUAUAUUUUAUAUUUUAUAUAUAGUUAACAUGUGGCUGUUUUGUAUUGGCUAUCUAAAAUACUACCGUACGCACACAUACACAGGAUCAUCACAACUAAAACACACGAUUUAGGGGUUUCUUCUUCCUUCUUCGAUUUUUUUCCUCUCCCUCUCUCUGAUUUCAGAGCCGCCGAACCCGAAGAACCUUUCCUUUCCUCUGCGUGAAACCAUUGUUGCAGCCAUCCUUGUUCUUCUUCAGCCGUCGCGCCGUCGUCCUCGUCACGCAAGCAGGUUCAAUUCUUCUGGCUUUCUUUUUUCUUUGUUUUUUCGUUUUGUUUCUUUUCCCCCUUCGAUUCUCUGUCUGACCAUCUCUAUGUCCUCCAUCAGCAGUUCGUGCAGAUCAUCAUCCAUAUUUCUGGAGUAGGUUGCAGCUUCGCACUCCUUUUUUUUUCUCCCAUUGACGCAGCCGUCCGUGCACUCCUCCUCGUCAGUUUUCCAUUGAAGACUCUCUCUGGACUCCAAGAGCAGAGAGCUGCUUACUUGGGCUCUGGUCAAAGUGGCUGGUUUUUUUUUAAAAAAACUAACUGGUUUUGAUGAAUUGGGUAUGUGUAGAAAUUGUGGAUCAAGAUGGGAAGUCGUCACUUCUUUCCCUGUGAAAGCGUUCGACUCUGUUGUUCUUGCCAUCUAUGAAGGUUUCUGCAACUUGAAACAGGUUCAUUUCUCGCAAAUUUUUGUUCUUUUAUUCGUUGGGAUUUUGUUGUCCUUUUGUAUAUUUAGUUAUAUCCUCUGGUUGUUUGCUUAGAAAAUGAAAGAGUGAAAGCACGAAUCAUAUUUUAUUUUAUGUUUUCCACUACUUGAGAAGUUCAAAGUUUCAAAACAAUUAAGCCAAGUUGUUAAUCUUCAAUAUUGUUAUCUCUGUUUGCAUUUGUAUUUUUAUCAAACUUUCAUGACUGUAUAUUUCUUCUGCUCAUUAUUUGUUUAGGGAAUUAGAUAUGGUGUUUCGGUUUGUGCUCAUAUUGUGCAUUCAAUUUUUUCAAUUUUGCAGUUUUGCAGAUUUUGAGAUUUUCAGUUUUUCGUUUUGCUUUAUUACUGCUGUCAUAGGCAACUAUUUUGAGAAAUUGGCUUGCUUAGGGUUCUUUGUUUUUUCGUGCUGAAUCCAAUGAUGCAAAGAAUGUCAAAAUUGGGCUAGUGGUUUGAAAGCUAAAGGCUAAAAACUGAACAGAUGUUAGAUUUGUCAAAACUGCAAUUUGAAACCCUUUAUUUUCUUGCUUGGCUCAAGUCUAGUUAAUUGGUUUCUGUUUUUCAGUUGCUUUCUAGUUAAGUGUUGUUAGCUUGUAGUUGACUUUUGUUUGUUGUUUCGGUUUGAUUUACUAGUGUGCAUUCAAAUUUAUUAAUUGGUUGUGCAUUCAAAUGGAUUAAUUGAUUAAUUGACAGUGUAUAACAGAUUUGCUGCAAUAUUUUUCAGUUUUUCAGUUUUGUAGUUUUUCAGUUUUUCAGAUUUUCAGUUUUGCAUAUUUUCAGUUUUGGAUUGAAUUUGGAUUGUAUUUUUGUUGAAGUUGGAUUCAUUUUGAUGAUGUUGAAGUUGGAUUGAAUUUGGAUUGAAUUUUUGUUGAAGUUGGAUUCAUUUGAAUUUGGAUUGUAUUUUUGUUGAAGUUGGAUUCAUUUUAAUGUGUUGAAAGCUUGAUGGAACCUCAAAUUUGGGGUAUGUUAGUAUAUAAAAUACAUUUUGGGCAGAUUUGUUAAAAUUUAAAAAAAAAAAAAAAAAAAAAAAACCGGAACCGCAGGAACCGAACCGGAACCGGACAGGUCCGGGUUGGUUCGGAUUUCUGUAUGGAUGUUGAGCAGAACCGGUCCAAACCGAACCGGUCUGCACUAUCGGAUCAGGUUCCAUUUUUCCCCCGGAACCAGUCCAAACCGAACCGUGCCCACCCCUACUGCCAAUUACAUAAGCAUCAUUCAAUCCAUAUAUCUUCACACCCAUCUCGAAUAUUUUGACCACCUAACUCACCCACCAGUUCAUCAAAUGUGUCAACAUUUGGCAUCCCUCUAGUAAAUGGCUCACACUCAAUUAUCACAUCACCUAAGACUUCAUCACCAAUAACAUCAUUAUAUUCUCUAUUAGGCAUUGAUAACACUACCGACCAACCAUGAUGCAUCGGGUCGUCAACAAAAAAUAUUUGUUUGACUUGAGAAGCCAAAACAAAUUGGUCAUUCCUAUGUCCAAUUUUACUCAAAUCUACAAGGGUAAAUCCAAGUUCGUCGACUACAAGACCAGUACUAUCUAUCCAAUCACACCUAAAGACUGGGAUUGUAAACUUUUGGUAGUCAAGGUCCCAAAUUUCUUGAAUGACACCAUAGAAACCCAUAUUUGAGAGAAUUGGGUUUUUAUCCUUGGCACUAGCAACUUGCAUGGUAUGUGCAAGUAAAUAAACUCCACUAUUUUGAGUUGUCCGCACAUCAUCUCGUGCCUUGAUAUUGAAUUUAAUACCUUUAAUAAGAUAGCUCCUAUAUAAUGGCAUUGCCAUGUUUGGACCAGCUGCUAGCCACUUUAAAUUUUCUGAUACGCCAUGAUUGUCUUCCUCAAGUUCACUUUGAACCUACAAAUUAAUCAUAUCUUAAUUCAAUCUAACAUAGAAAUAAGAAGAAAAUUAAAAGAGAAAUAUGUUAUUCAACAACAUAUACCUUGAAGCGUAGCCAUUGAAUGAAAGUGCUAUUGUGCUUAUCCUGCAGCCACUUUGUUCUCUUUCUAAAUUUUGGAUAAGCAGUCUUGAUGUGGAUCAUAUGUUGCCUACAUGACACGAAAAAUUCAAGCAUUACGGUCCCAAAUAUAUAAGCUAAACAUAAGAAAUAAUUUAAAAUGGAAACUUAAAGAAUAAAACUCAUACGUACUCGAUAUAAGGUAGGACUUCCUCCGUAUUCUCCAAGACAUAUAGAUGUGCUUGAUUCAACAGGUCCUGUUCAAUCGUUGUCGUAUGCCUAAAAAGGCGUAGUGUCUCAGUUUAUUUUCAAGAACCCAAAACCCAUUAAGAACACAACAUAUAUAUGAAACCAAGCAAGAAACCAACAUAUACAUGAAACCAAGCAUGAAAACAAUAAAUCCAUUCCCAAUUCAACAUAACAUAGGGUGAUUAAAAGAUCCGACAAAAUUAAAUCCAUUCCCAAUUCAACAUAACAGAUAAUGUAAUCUAUGAACCCAUUAAACAGAAAAUCCAUGAACCCAUACCUGCACAUUAUUAACAGAUCGCAAAGCAUAUACCUAAAACCCUUUAAUAAAACAACCUAAUAUCAUUCAAUGAAUUUACAAGGGGAAGAUAGGGUUUGUACUUACAGGUUGGACGAGCUCACAGAUUCGACGGAGCCUGGAAAGUGCAACUUUUAAUUAGAGCAGAAGUGAGAGAGCGAAAUGUUAUGUUGCGCGAAAUCUGAAAAUUUUAGGGUUCAGGGUUAGAAGUAUAAGAAUAAGAGCCAAAUCUAAAAAAUUUAGGUCGCGCGAAAAUUUUUAGAGAGCGCGCUCUUUAAAACGUCGAAAGAAAAACCAUAGCGAAAGUUCUACAAGAACCGACGUAAAUGUAAUAUUCCACGACGGAAACACUGAACGUAGCGCCGUUUAUUUUGACGCUUGAUUUUUCGGAUUAAUUUUAAAUUAAUUUUGAAUAUUUUGAUAUAAAGACGACUGAAAAACCACGUCAGGGUUAAGAAAUUGAAGACGUUGUAAAUUAUAAUAGAUGACUUAUAUAUUAAAAUGACGUCAUUUAAAGUAGAAACCAUGUCGGAUAUUUUACUGCACGACGUAACAUAUGUAUUCCACGACUCAACCACCGUCGUUAAAAAUUAAUACCCUAAACCCUUAAAACUAAAUUAUAUAAUUUAAAAUUUUAAGUUUAUAAAAGGGUUUAUGGUUUUACAGCCUAAUAUAUACCCUAUACUACUCAAAAAUUAUACUUUAAAAAUAAACCCCAAUAAAUAACAACCCUAAUCUCUAAACCCUAGACUCUAAACCCUAAAGCAUAAAACUAGAAGUGAUUUUAUGACUCAUCAAAACAAUUUUGUUUUGGAUGGUCAUUUUAAAUUUUUGUUAUUCAAAAUGAAUUUUUUCAAGGUUUAGGGGGAAGAAAAUAUAUCAAUGACUUCAUAGGAGUUGACUUUGCAUUUUUCUGAUUUAUUUUAAAUUUAUUUUGAAUAUUUUGAUAUAAAAAUAAUAAAAUAUUCUUAUCACAACAACAAACCACGUCGGUGUUAAUAAAUUGUAGACGUUGUAAAUUGUAAUAGACGACUAAGUUGUUAAAAUGACGUCGUUUAAAUGAGAAACCAUGGCGGAUAUUUAACUAUCCGACGUAAAAUAUAUAUUCCACGACUUAACCGCUGUCGUUACAAAGUACUACCCUGAACCCUUAAGAAAUUGAAGACGUUGUAAACCAUAAACGACUCAAUUGUUCAAAAAACGUCGUCUAAAUAUCUUUUUACGUCGGAUUUGUUUAAAACGAAACAACAAAAAACGACAGUUUUUGACUUUAUUAGGUCGUUGGAAAAGUAUUACACGUCGGUUACACAAUUUGUAUGUUUGUUUUUUUUUUUAAUUUAAGAAAACCCCAACAAAUUUUUACAUUAUAUAUUAUAGACAAAAUUUGUACAUUAUACAUAAAUAUCAAGUGGUCAAUAAUUCCCCUAUUCCAUGUGAAGGCAAACAAACUCUGCCCAUUCAUUCCGGACUUCAUCAAUUGCUUCUUGGGGGUAUGGCGCUUCCUGUUUUCCCUUGGCAUACUGCAUAAACAAUGACUAUUAGGGUUUAUAAAUAAAAAGAAAUUCAAUCACAGACGAUGAUAUUUUUCAUAACCGACGUAGUAUAUCUAUUCAACGACGGUAAUUUUACAUGACCGUCGUUGAUAAUACAAAAAACGACGUAAAAUGUAUGAAGGUAAUUUCUUCUUACCUUCUUCUCAAACCCCAAGGAAGGAUCCAUGAUGAUGUCCCUCAUGAAACGCAUCACAUAAUACCCGCAUUCGACACUGCUGGGUUGCUUUGGUGUGCCUGACAGAGUUUUCCAAAUUACUGUUUUACGGCCUGAUCUGGCUAUGUGAGAAUUAUAUAUUUUUAUAGCACUGUUCACGAUGUUUUUGCCCUCUUCAUCGACCACACGAUUUCCAGGCAGAGGAUCCAGAAAAUAGACGGUUUCCCUCUUUGCUCUCACAAUCAGCAAGAUCCAAUGACAGCUGCACAAAAUUAAUAUAAAAACGACGGUUAUUUACAAAAAUGACGUAUUAUAAUAUUUCACAAGACGAAAUAAAGUAGCAAUCGACGACAUUAUAUAUUUAUCACGACGAUAAAUAACUACCGACGUGGUUAGUAGUUUCAAACAACUCAAUAAAAUAAAACACCGACGUGGUUAGUUUAUACGCUGUCAUUUAUUGAAAAUCAUAAAAACAAAAUCCUGUUAAAGAGACUAACCCUGGAUUGUAAGGCAUCAUGAAAAUCUGUUCACCAUCAGUCUUCUGAAGUCGAGCUGCUACCAAUCGUGAUCUGUCAGCUAUUGUCCCAGAGUUGGCACUAACUGUAGCAGGGUCGAUAAAGCCAACCAUGCUGCACAUAUUUGCUUGUUUCAAAAGAUCAUGUAAGUACCUAAAUAUAUAAAAUAAUAUAAACAAGUCAGCACAAAAAAACACACGACGGUUAUGUAUAACAAAACGACGUAUUAUAAAAUUUCACACGACGUACUGAAAUAGACAACGACGUUAUAAUAUAUUUAUCACGACGGUACAUACUAACGACGUGGUUAGUUAGUUAAGACGACGCAAUAAAUAAACCAACGACGUAUUAUUUUAGAAUGACAAACCUCAUAUAUACAGCAACCACAGUAGCUCCUAUUUCUUCCAUGCCUGCAAAUUGUGUAAUAUCUUCAGGCAGAACGAAGGUAUCGCGUUCUAGACCAAACACCUCCUUAUCAAUUGUAAAGUUCAGGGUCUUAUCCUGAGGCACGAGUGUCGUUUCCACAUAACGACAAAGGGAUUUUAAAGAAGAUGGCGCCUCCACAUUUGAAUAAUCAACAACUUUAAUAACCUGUUUAAAGAAAUAAAAAAAAUGACGUGGUAAUUCAAUAAAAACGACGGUUUAAGGAAUAAAACGUCGUCUGAAAAGAAUUUAAACGACGGUGAAAAAACCGUCGUGGUGAAUAAUUUAUUACGUCUUAGAAAAAAAUUCCGCCGUCUAAGUUGUAAACAAACGACGGUUUAAAGAAAAAAAUUCCGCCGUCUGAAAUUUUGAAAAACAAAUAAAAAAGGCAAAGUUAUGUGAACAUACCUGGUUGUCAUGCUUUUCUUCAUCUUCUUUCUCCUUUUCAUCUUGUUUUUCUUCUUUCUUCUCUUCAUCUAUUACGCCGGGAAUGACUAACACCGUCGUCUAAAAACCACAAAGUUUUAAAAAUAACGACGUUUAAUGGCGUGUAAAACAUGUAAACUAAAUACGACGUGGUAUUGAAAUACAAACGACGGUUUAUUUUUAAAAUCGUCGUGGUAUGUAUUUCAAACGACGGUUUUAUUAAUAAUAACGACGUCUAAUAGUUUUUAAAAAAACAGAGAAUUCAAAGUUCAGAUAUGUUACCUUUUCUUCCUGAUGUUUCCCAUUUUUGGCAGUAUCAUCCUCAAAAUGUAGGGAUCUCACAUCACCUCCAGAGCAGCUUGCUUUGUCAGACAUUGGAUUUUUGGGACUUUGGCUAAUUCUUGGUUUAAGCAUGCUUGGAUCAAAAUUGAGAAUUAAUUGGAAAAGCUGACUCAGGAAAUGCUCCCUCUCAGCCUCUACCAAUUGUUUGGUUCUAGCCUCCAUCCUUAAAGCCUCUUCCCUUGCCUUAGCUUCCAUCUUUUUAUUCUCUUCUUGAAGGAGAACUCUUAAACUGUCCUUUAAACGGUCGUCAAAGCUCAUCCUCUGUGGUUUGGGUAAAUUGAAAUAUUGCCUUGGGGAAAUCCCAGCACCUACACCUCUCACUCUGCCUGGAUGCUCGGGGCCCAAAGCCAUGGUCAGCACAUCAUUGCUGCCAGAUAUACUGACUUUGCCUUCCGAGACUUGUUUUUGCAAUUCAUCCUAAAACAAAGAUAUAUAAAAAAGUAAGAUCAAAAAACACACGACAGUUAUUUAUAUACAAACGACGUAUUAUAUAAUUUCAGACGACGCAAUAACAUAUAAAUCGACGUUAUUAUAAUUUAUCACGACGGUAGUUAUACCGACGUGGUUAGUUUUUUAAAACGACGAAAUGAAUAAACCACCGACGUCUUAUGCUUUAUUUACAGGUAACAGAGGGAUGAUUCAAUAUUCACACCUUUAACGACCUUGUUUAAAACAUUUCGACAUAGUAAUUUAAUACAAACGACGCGAAAAUGAACCAUCGACAUCUUAUGCUAUAAUUACAGAAAAUAGAGUACUGAUUCCUGAUUUAGACCUUUAACGACGUUUUUUAAAAAAUUUCGACGUGGUAAUAUCAUUCACACGACGCAAAAUAUAACAUAAGACGUAAUAAGAAUUAUUCACAGUUUAAUAAAAAUUUAAAACAGAGUGAGUAGGCUUACAAUUAAUUUUGCUUUCUCUGCCACCUUUGGAUUCGGGAUGUUACCAUGUUUGUCCUGUCUAGCUCUCUUCCAUAAGGUAGAUCGAUCAAUUUCUACCCCAGGCAUGGUUUCCUCCAAUUGAUCCUCCAAACCAGCAUAUCCUUUUCGAGACCUCUUCCCUUGCCUUAGCUUCCAUCUUUUUAUUCUCUUCUUGAAGGAGAACUCUUAAACUGUCCUUUAAACGGUCGUCAAAGCUCAUCCUCUGUGGUUUGGGUAAAUUGAAAUAUUGCCUUGGGGAAAUCCCAGCACCUACACCUCUCCCUGUCAUUGGUGUAUCGAAGGAUAUAAUGCCUCGUUAGUGUAGACUUGAAAUCCUUCCAUUUCUUGGCAGCAGAAGCUAACACAGAGUUCUUGCCCCCUUGACCUACCACAAAAGCAAUGUCAACUGCUUCCCAAAUCUGCUCCUUUAUAUCCUUGGGGAUUUGAGCCCAUUUCAUGUCCACAAGUGGAACUCUGGAGCGUGCCAACACACCAAUGUAGGACUGCAUCUCACUAUGUGCUUGGCCAAUUCCUUUCCCCCUUUUAUUGUACUCAACAAUUGGCCUGAGUUUCUGAAGUUUUCUCUUCACAACACGAGGCAUUGUGCUCAUACCUCGACCAGACUUUGAAUCAUCAGAGAUUGUUGUCGUGCUGGUUGGUUCUGUCUCAGCAGAUGAUGAAGCAAACUUCAUCUUCUUCGAAGACUUCUCUUGAGGAGUUACCAUUCCAAGCUCCUUACCUCCAUUUUUCUUGGAGCCAGAGUCCUUACUUUGGUCUUGAGAAACCAUUUUUACAGACAAAACUGCAAGUGAAAAUAUUUCAGGAAAAGAUUAAGAACACAAACGACGGUUAUUAAUAAAAUACGACGUAUGAUAUGAUUUUAAACGACGCAAUGAAAUAAUCUCAGACGUAAUAAAUGUUUAAAACCAAGGUAAUUAAACAACGACGAAAUAAUAUAAAAUAAGACGUAAUAAUAACUUAUUACGUCGAUAUUUACCGGACGACGUGAUAAUUAACUAUAAACGACGAAAUAUUUAUAUAACGUCGUGGUAUUGAUGUUCACACGACGUCAAUAGUAAUAUACCGUCAUCUAUAUAAGGAUCCAAAACCCUUCUUUCUUUCUCUGUAAAUGUUUGAUUGCAGAUUUGAUUUUUCUGAACCAUGGUUUUUGUUUUCUAAUUUGAUAAAAUACAAGGCCAAGAAAGAAAAUUUUGGAAUCUUAUAUAGACGACGGUAUUUUAAUAUGACGUCGUGGUAUUAACAUUCACACGACGUAAAACAAUAAGAUACUGUCGUCUAUAUUAGAUACCAACCCUACUUUCUUUUUCUUUAUAUUUUAUCAAAUUAGGGAAAAACAAAAACCAUUGUUCAGAGAAAUCAAACCUGCAAUUAAACAAGCAAAUAAAAAAAAGACUAUAAUUUUAAAAACAACUUUGUCAAUUUUCAGACGACGCUAGAACGACUGACGAACCGUCGUGGUCUACAUAUUUAACCACGUAAAUAAGAAGCUACCGUCGUCUUAUUUAGUUGAGGUAGUUGUCUUCAAAGUAGGAAACUUUCCCUCUUUGUCUGUAUAUUUUAUCAAACUUGGAAAGAAGUAAAAUGAUUUUGGCCAGAAAAAAGGUAAAAAGAUUUUUCAAAUAAAAAACGUAUGAGCAUGCAAAACAGCAACCAAAAUAGUGAAAAUGAAAGCUUACCUUUUGCGUGCAAUGAAAGCAAGAGGAAGACGAUGUUUAAGUUUAGAGACGACGAAGAAGACGAGAGGAAGACGAUGAGAUACUCUGACAGUGUUCUGACAAGGAAAAAAGACAAAAAGUUUUCUCUGGGAGAUUGAAAUUUUUAAUCGGGUUUGGAAAUAGUGCAUGUGUAAGUCAGGUAGACGAAAAGUUGCUUACAUAUAAAACCAUUUUAAAAAAAUAAUACGGCGGUUACAUAUAACUACGACGUAUAAAUUACAAAAUACGACGGUACAUUUAACUUCGGACGUGAUAAAUAAAUACGACAGUAGAGUUGUAGGUACCGUCGUAGUAAACUCAAAAAUUAAAGUACAUAAGUAAUAACUCACGUCAUGGUAGAUUAUUUAACACGUCGUUUUUAUUAAUGUACCGACGUGGAUUUCUGUAAUAUAUGUCGGUCAUACCGACGUUGAUUUUACAAUUUAAACGGCGGUUUUUUUGUAAGGACCGCCGUUGGUUUUAAAAAUUUAUUCUAUAAAUUUGUCGCUUUCAUUCAUUUUCGGUUUACAUUUAGGGUUCCAAGUUCUUCCUCUCUCAGAGACACUGUCUCUCACAUCUCAAAGACAAUAAUUUGGAUGUCUUUCUCAAAGAGAAAUUGAGCUUACUCGCAUCAAAUCUAUGUCCACAAGAAGAAGCUUGUCAACUAGCCUUCUCACUUCCUUGAUCAAGCCUGAUAGGACACUUAGUGCUUCUGAAUACUCCUUGCUUUCCAUCAAAAGAGAUGCAAGCCUGGCCUCCACUCGCUGUCGAAGGAAAGUUCGCUUCUCAGGGAAAUCUGAAGAUCAGAUGUGCCUGAUCCUCUGCUUGAUUUUCUUGGCUAAGAAGAUCCGUCAAAUUUAUGAUAGCCUCUUCCUUUAUCCGUAGAGCUUCAGAAGAAGAAGAUGGGAUUCAAGAAUGCGAUAAAGAAUAGAAAUGGCUUCAGAUGGCCUCUAAAGCAUGAGCAAUCGAAUCAGUAGUUGCUGGGAGAUAUGAUGAAGACAUUGUCAAUGCUUUGAACUAUACAAGUCCUGCAGAAAGAUAAAGGACCAAACUGUUAAAGAAACAGAAACAACGGCGGUUUUCUGUUCUACCGUCGUCUUUUCUCGUCGUCUAUAUUAAGGUAAGAUGGCGGUAGAUUUAUAAUUACCGACGUAGAUUAUUUUGUUAAACGUCGUUAAGUGUAAUACAACCGACGUGGAUUUUAUUUUUAAAUUAUAAAUAGAGUUUUUUUUUCCGAAUUCUUUCAGUUUUAGUUUUCAAUUACAAAGCGUGAUAAAUAGAUUUUUCUUUCCCGAGGAAAUUUAAAAUGAGGGAAAUUAAUGUUCUAGAAUUUGUAAACUAACACGACGCAAUAUUACUAACCCGAGGAAAUUAUAAAUAGAUUUUGCUUUCCCGAAGAAAUUUUAAAUUAAUUCAGUUUGAAACAACGACAGUUUUUUGUUAUGCAGUCGUUUUUAACUAACACGACGCAAUAUUUGUUUUGCGACGUGGAAUCUUUUCAUUUAACGUCGUUAGGUUUAAUAUAACCGCCGUGAAUUUGAAUUUUUAAAUUAUGAAUAGAAUUUUUUUUUCCGUGACCUUUCAGUUUAUUUUUCAAUUACAGUGCGUUAUAAAUAGAGUUUUUUUUCCGGAGGAAAUUUAAAAUGAAGGAAAUUAAUGUUCUGGAAUAUGUAAAGUUUUUUUUUUGGAUGACAGAUUUAAAUAAAAUAAGAAUAUAAAAACAACGACUGUUUUUGUAUUACUGUCGUCGUUUUUCGUCGUCUUAAGUAAGACUCAGACGACGUAAUAUAUUUGUUGAGCGACGUUGAUUUGUUUUUUAAACGUCGUUAGGUAUAAUAUAACCGUCGUUGAAAAUUGUCUCUCUGAUUGCAAAUUUACAACGACGUUAGGUAUAAUAUUUGUAGAUACACAAACGCACACACAUCAUCAACUUCCAAAAAAUUGUCUCUCUGAUUGCAAAUCUGUGUCAUCUGUUAAGAUUAUGAUGUGGAACAGAGUUCCAUCUGGUAAGAUUUCGUAACCCUUGGGAUCUCAGAAAAAUCUGAUUAUGUCGGCGGUUUUCUAUAUAAACCGUCGUGGUUAUUUCAAUUCUUGUCAUUAAGUAGAUCUACCGACGUAGGAUAAGAAAAUCAAAGAAAAAAAUUGUUAACAAAAAUUCUUAUUAAGACGACGGUUUAAAUUAAAGGUACGACGUAUAAAAUGAAUAAAUACGACGUUAAAUUUUAUACGAUUUAAAGAUAACGUCGUAGAACUAUACGAGAAUGACGUCGAUAUAUUUAUAUUUUCCGUCGUUGUACAUUAAUUUAAUACGGCGAUAUUUUGUAUUUUAAAGCCGUGGAUUUGUUUGUAAUUAUACGGCGUCUUAUACGAAAACCUCGUCGUGUUAUUUUAUGAGUAAAAACGGCGGCUUUUAUGGAAAUCGUCGUCUUUACUUUCUACGUCGGUCGAUUCAUAACUUCUGCCGUUCUUUGUUGGCUUUGAUUUUACACUGCGGAAAUCUGUUUCAAAUAGACGUCGGUUGUUUAAUUAGGUACGUCGUUGUUUUUGAACAGCCAUUUGAAUCUCCAUUUUUUAGUUGUCUAAGGUGGUAUUACACGACGGUGUUUUUAGAACCGUAGUCUUUUUAAAAACCACGACUGUUUUCACUUUGACCGUCGUUGUUUUCUGGUUGUCUUUUUCACUUUUUGUAGUAGUGUCUUUUGGCCCUUUCAGGGCUAGGGCCCCAUUCUUCCAAGAAAAUGACAUUUAGGAUUUGGAUUUUGGGGAAUGCUAUGGUGUUAGCAUUUUCACCUCUAUGACGAUGAACGAUAUUAACAGACUUAGUUUCAAUUAGAAGAGUUUCAUAGAAAAUACAAGGCUUAUUCAAUGGAGGAAGAUUAUCCCUUAAAUAUUUUUUACCCAGAAAAUUUGGGUGUUUAUCUAGAUCAUUCAUUUCAAUGAUUGCUAUAGACAUAUUCAUAUAUUCACGGAAUGGAUUUUCAGCAAUCUGCUUCUCCUUACCCUUAUUAUAUGGAGAAGAAGACAUUAGUGGCUUUGGAUCAUUAGGGGAUGACUUGGUAAGAGCAGAAGAGCUUUUACUUGGAGUCAUUUGUCUGGAACUUCUGGUUUGCACCUUGCAAAAAUUCUCGAGUUAAAAAGUCCGGGAGUGUGUUAGUUUCAUCUUUAAUAAAUUCAAUAUCAAAAUCGAAAGCAGAAACAAUUCCUUGCCAUCUUGCAAAAUUUUGUUUAGAUGCUAGAUUUUUAACAUCCUUGAACAAAAUGUCUUUGGCCGCCUUGCAAUCUACUCUUAUAAAAAAUUUCUUGUUUAAAAGAUCACUUUCAAAUUUAGAGACAGCAUGGAUGAUGGCUAACAUUUCUUUCUUAACAGUGGAAUAAUUCUUUUGAGCUGGUUUCCAAACUCCAGAUGUGAACCUAACUAAUUGUUUCGAGUUAUCAACCCUUUGUUUUAAGAUUCCCCCAUACCCUAUUUCUACAAUUUUAAAGGGAACUUAUCAGCAAAGGAUAUUGCUCUAUUAAUCGGAACUAUUAGUCGCUUAUUAAUAUUAUGUCCCAAAAAGCGAACUUUUGAAGAAAAUAGUUUCAUUUUCUUUGCCGAUACCACUAAUCCUGCAUGUUUCACAACUUUCAAGAAAAUAUUCAGAUGUUUAAAGUGAUGUUCCAAAGAAUUAGAAUAGACUAAAACAUCAUCAAUAUAAACAAUGGUGAAAGCAUUGUAAGGAUUAAAUAUAUCAUUCAUAAUAUUUUGAAAUUCAGAAGGGGCAUUUUUCAAUCCAAAAGGUAGAAUGUUCCAUUCAUAAUGUCCAAAAGGGACAUUAAAAGCUGUUUUGUACUUGUCCUUUUCGGCGAUCUGGAUUUGCCAAUAUCCCGAUUUCAUGUCAAAUUUAGAAAAGAUAACUGCCUUAUUUAGUCUGUCCAAAAGAUCUUUCUUAUUAAGUAUCGGAUAUCUAACCCAUUUUAAGGCUUUAUUUAGAGGUUUGUAAUUUAUCACCAAUUUGGGUACUCCUCUUUCUAAUUCAGCUGCGUUUUCAACAUAAAAAGAGAAACAGCUCCAAGGAGAUGAGCUUUUCCUGAUUAACUUCUUAUUUAAUAAAGCUUGUAUUUCAAAUUUACAAAUUUUCAUUAGCCUAGCAUUCAUUUGAAUUGGCCUAGCUUUGGUUGGGAUUUUCUUUUCAUCAAAAUCAGGCUCAUAGGGUAAUUCAAUUAUGUGCCUCUUUCUGUUCCAGAAGGCAUUGGGUAUUUCCGCACAAACUUGGCUUUCGAACAUCUUUUGGAUUUCAGCAAUUUUUUCUUUUAUCUUUUUAUUUUGCAGCUGCUCUUCUAUUUUCUUAUGCUGCAUUUCUUCUUUCAAAUGGCAUAGAUAGUUUUCCUUCCUUUUUAUUUUUUCUUGGAUUUCAUUAAUAUACUUAUGCUUUUGGUUGAGAAAACCUAAAGAUUAUAGGUUGACCUUCUACCUCGGUUCUAAUUCCUUCUUCAGAGACAGAAAAAAGGUAAAGCAUAUUAAUGAAUGGUGUUCCUAAUAUAAGAGACGGGUUUAAACCUUUCAUCAGAACAAAAGGAGUUACAAAACAAAUACCCUGAUUGAGCACAGCAGCGUUAGAUAAUUUAAAUUGAAUUCCCAUUUUUUGGCUAUUAACGGCUGUAUGUAGAACCUGGGUAGUCUUCUUGAAAUACCUAGUGGGUACCACUUCCUCAUUUAUACAGUUAAGAUCGGCCUCUGUAUCUAUUAGCCCUUCAAUUGUAUAUUUAUAGGUUCUAUCAACCACAACAGUUAUCAUCGCAUACCAUUUCUGAGCUAUCACUCUAUCUAUGCUAGUGAUGAUUUUCAUGGUACAAACCUGUUCUUCUUGUAGGGAUUCAUUCACAGGUUCUAUUUUCUCUUGAAAUUCUUUCGUUAGAUUUUCAAAUUCUAAUUGCUCCGAUUUUUCCUCUGUAUCUUUUUCCGAAAAUGGGCUAUAGAGUUCUAGAAUUCUAACCCUAUUUUUUAACUCUCUAAGUUCUUCUUUCACAUCAUGAACUUCGCACUGAAGAUCAUUGAGAGUAGGUUCUUUCUUGUGAAUUAUUCAUCCUGUUCACUAUAGUUUUCAACUGGUUGUCUCACAUUAGUUGUAGCUGUCACUUGGUCCUACUUUAGCUAGUGAGAUAUAACUUUCUAACACCUCUCCCUUUUUCUCUGGAUCCUCUAUUUUGUCAAUUAAGUCUAUUACCAGACUCUCUUCUUUAGUUAAAACACAUAUUUUGAGAUCAUUGAAUUGACAGGUGCACUCAGUUUCACUAUCUGAACUAGUGUCAGUAUCAUAUUCAAAUAAUUCUUCAUUUUUGAGUUGAGCUAGUUCGUUAUCAUUAUCUUGCUCAGAAUCAGAGGAAUUAAGCAUUAUUUGGCAAAGUUGUUGCUUGAGUUCUUUGCUAAUGCUUAAGUUACUGAUUUUAUCUUUCAUUUUACAUUCGGAUUUAUAGUGUCCGACUUUUUCACAUUUGUAGCAUGUUGGGACCGCACCUUUCUUUCCUUUACUAGCCUUCUUACUAGUUUUUCCUGCGUAUUUCCUUUUUUUAAAGGUCCUAUACGGUUUCUUAGGCUCAGACUUAGACUCGUAUUUCUCAUAUUUCUUAGUCCUACGCCCCCCAAAUUUCUUUCCCUUUUUAUGUGGUUUAUGUGAAUAUGAUUUUACUGGUUCAAAACUAAAUUGUUCACAAAAGUCUCCUAAUUCUUUUCUUCCCAAGGUUUUCUGCUUAUCAAGCUGUUUCUUUAGUUUCAUGUCUGUGCAUUUGGGCUAAGUGCCACCAUCCUUUCAAUUGACCAACAAAACUCGCGAUAAUAGCUUCAGCCACCCUUCUAUCUCCAUUUCCUUUUUAUCUUAGAGGCUGUAGCGUACAUCAUCAUAUGUUUCAUUGUAUUAAUGAUCUGAUAUUCUGUCAGACCAUCAAUAUUCCAUUCAACUAUGGAGCUUCCGUCAUAUUGAGCGGAAUUCCACAUUCCAUCUUCCUCAAAUUGUAAAUCUACUGGUGCAGGUCUAGGGUAGUAGUUUUUAGUUUUAGCAGUUUGAGUAAAUCUAUUUUCAGUCAUUAACCUAUUUAUUUCAGGUUGUUCUUGUUUAAACAUUGUUUCAAGGUUAUCUAUUUCCUCCUCAGUGAGAACCGACACUUGAUGACCUUUUCUUUUAUCUGACAAAUUUAACCCUGAUAAUUUUUUGGCCAAGGCGUCAACAAAGUUUUCGUCUUCAGACAAAGUCCUUCCCAUCUUAAAGUUUUUUAUUAUCUAAGGCAGGAGGUGGUUUAAAGAAUGCUUGACUCACUUCCUUAUUUCUUUUAGUUUCUGAGGGUCCUGGUUCUGAUUUCUGUUCCUUCAUUGAAACAGAUGUUUCAAUCCUGGUAACUUGCUUUCCUAAAGAUUGCAAAAAUAGGUUGGUGUAGUUAUUCUGCUGAAUGACCGCACCUAUAUCUUCUUUACUGGCUGUGCAAAAAUUAUUGGCACUAUCUUCAAGGAAAGUAGUUUCUUUGUAGGGAGCUGCAAUUACGUCCUUUUGUUUUAUCACCAUCUCGGGUGGAUGUCUGGCUUUGACUAACUGUCCAUCUUUGGAAGUAUAAGUCAAAAAUGGGCUUCCUAUCAUUUCUAUAUUAUUCAUGUAUUCAUGAAUGUUAUAUUUUUUAGCACACCAAUCUAACCAAGCAAAGAAAAAAUAGUUGAAUUUCUUUUCUUUCAUGAAAGUGGUGUGGGCUUUCCAGAGAUGGUCUUGCCUAUCCUUCCUAAAGGUUGUUUCAAACCAAAUUCUUUUAUCAACAUUUUCAAUACUCAGAUAAUCUCUUUUAAUCUUUUUGUGUUCGAUUUCAAAAGAUUUUAUCAUAUUUAUUUCAAAUUCAACAUCUAAAAAUGUUGGUUCAGGUUGAGGCGGAUUCCUUCUAAAACUUAGGUCUGGAAUGGUUUGUUCGAACCUAUAGGCUGGGCUCUGUAUUUGUUCUUGAGUUCUCCUAAGUCCUGCUAGAACCAUUCUUUCAUGUUCUAGAUCAUAGGCUCUAUCAGGGGAGGUGCUUGAUCUAUGUGGUUCUAGGUUAGAUCUAGAGGGUGCCAAAUCAAUCCUAGUUCUUCUAGCACUGGAGAAUUGUAUAUUUCUACCUCUCCAUCAGCGAAUUGCAAGAUCCGUGUAGGCUCCUGAUUUUCAAGGGGCUUUUUUGGGGCUACUUCAUCCAAAAUCCAUUUUUCUGGUAGAGUUAUAUCACUCCAUUUUAUCAUUUUUGGGACUGCCACGUUUGACUUUUCAAGGUUGGUUUGGAACAAGGUAGUUUCACCUUUACUGUCUAAGUCUUUAGCUUUGGGACAGACAAUGUUCAUAACCUUAUAUGAAACCCUAUAAAUGAUUGCUAGAUUUUGGGAUCUUGGGUCCAUAUCAUAAUCCUGAGUUUGAAUAUUCAACGUUAAGGCUUUUAAGACAUUUAUAUCAGAAAGUGCAACAGAAAAGUUUGGAAAACAGUUAAAAUAUAUCGGGCCUUCCCCUAAGGUUGACCCGACUAUUCCUAACAAAGAAUCCGUGAACUUUCUAAGUCUUCCAUCUCUUACACAUAGCAAGAUUGAAUUGGGCAAUCCUGUUCUGGUAAGUGGUUUCACCGCUAUCUGCACCAAGCCUAUGUGCAAAUAGUUAUAUUUUUUAUCCAGAUGCUGGUUGAUUUGACGCUGAGUAAAUAGCUGGAAACUAUCAUUUUUAUCAAUGACAGAUAUAGUUUUUUCAACAGUUUUUAUUGCAUAAUCAGAUCUAAAAUUGAAAGAUCCUUUAUAGUAGAUAUCAGUGAUGGGUACUCUGGGUAUAUCCCAGUUGCAUAACUCCUUUUCUACUUCUCGCAUGGAUAUUUCUUGAGAGUUUUUCACCCUUAGGGUUUUAUGGCUAGAACUGCUACUAACACCUGCAUCUCCAGAAGAACGAGUAGACAAGAUUCUCCUAAGGCUUGCAAUUUUAAUAGUCUGGGUUUUAUGCUUUCCUUAUGUUCUCCUCCUAAUUCAAGGUUGCUAGUCCCUGCCUAGGUCACUUCAACGCCUUACACCUUUCUAGCAAUGGCCAACGAGCCUAUCCGACAGCUAGACAACUCGAUGACUAGUGAGUAAAGGAAACUUGACAGAAAACCUUCAAACUAACAACUCUUCUAGGGACUUUAGGCUUUGAUACCAGGUACUGGCUGGGCCUCUUAAGAGCAAAUUUUUAAUCAAUUUUUUGCUUUAGUUUAUGCGCGGAAGGUAGUGUAGAGAUGUAGAGAAUAAACAGAAUAAUUAUCAAAAAUUUAAACAUACAAAGCCAAAAGCAGGGAUAAGAAUAUAACGAAAUUAAAAACGAUAUUAACGAUAACAUUAAUAUUUAGCAAACUUACAUAAAAGUAGAAGGGCAGUAGUGCUUAACAAAAGCUUCGCAGAAGCAGCACUUGGAAUAUAAAAACACUCAAGCACUCAAACACUCAAAAGUACAAAGUUUAUUUCUGGAGGCGAUAAUUUUGCGAUAUAUAUAUCCUCUCAUAUAAGUCCAAAUUAUCUUGAUAUUUACCCAUCGCAUUAUGAUAUUUGUCUUUAAAGAAUUAAUUAACAUACAUAUCACCACGCAGAAAAUUGAUUUAUGUCUUCAAGAUGUCUAUAGAGCAUUAUUAAACUAACCCGAAAAUAAAUCUAUAUUUUUAUUCUUAGUGCAAUGUGGAAAUAUCUUUAAAGAAUAGAAUAUUUCACCAAUAUAGCAGAGCGGCUAUACCCAACAAAUAGAAAAUUCAAUACUCUAACCGAGCGGCUAUACUCUAUAAAUAGAAAAUUUUUAAAUGUACAACUGCAUGGCUAUACGCUUUAAAUAGAAAUUUCAAAAUUAUAGCCGCCCGGCUAUACUAGUUAGAAAUUUUCCAACAGUAUAGUCGCACGGAUAUACAAAAUUGCUUUUCUCAUCCAACGAAGUAGUUUUUCAUUCUUAUUUUUUUCGUAAUGGGGCGGGUCAGGGAACUAAUUCUGCAAUGAAGGCUGGUAUGGGCCAAUGGCGGAUUGAAGACCGGCAUAUUCUGAAUAUGGGCACCAAUAUACCGGUCGACUAGUUCUCCAAGCCAGUGGCAGUGGUUGCAGUUGAUUUCCCCCAUUAUCACCUAUUGGACAACCUUUGCCUUUUCUGUGUCUUGGUGUUUCACCAUUUUGGCCAACCAUAGUCUCCAGUACCUCGGCCAUACUUAAUUCCAGUCACCUUAAAUGUAACCGAAAAUACUUGCUCGAACUCAUUCAUUUUGGCCCGCCCUAGUUGACUCCCAUUUAUUUGUCUGCUAUUCUAGAUCUAGUCAUUAUCAAUCACCAUAAUAAAGCUCCACUCUUGUAGUUUCAGUUUCACCUGUGCCUUUGAUUAUUUAGAACAAUUUAGACUUUAAUGAUAUGGUCACGGUUACAGCACAAAAGACAAAUACCAAAAGCGGCCCUCGUGAAGAAGGGUAUGGUCAUUGGUCACCCUCAGUUUCACCUGUGCCUUCUCAUCACUUUCAUUCUCGCCUCCUCAUCACUCUCUGUCGUCUGUGGUGCUCAGGAGCACCACCACCACAACGGCAUUAUCAGCCAUGGAGCUCUCUCCGACACCGAAGCCCUCUACAUCAAGCAGCGCCAGCUUCUCUACUACGGGGACGAGUUCGGCGACCGAGGCGACCUAGUCACGGUCGACCACCAUCUCUGGUUUUUGAGAACCAGAGAAUCAGAAAUGCUUACAUGGCUUUACAAGCUUGGAAGCAAGCCAUUCUCUCCGACCCGCUUAAUCUCACGGGUAAUUGGGUCGGAUCUAAUGUCUGCAACUGUAUUCAAUUUAAUCAACUGUAGGAUUCAUUUACAAGGCGAGUGGAAGGAGUCAUCAAUUUUGAAUUAACAAGUUUCUACUUUAACGUAUAACAACUAUGUUCAUAUUUAUUGGCUGGAUAACUUGUUAUAUUCAGCCAAUUACUUGGAUAACGUAUGCACUUAAGGUGCAAGUGCUUUGACAUUUGUGCCACAUAGAAUUACAUUCCUUUUUAAAUAUUUUAUGAUAUAAUUUUUUUUUUAUUUUUAAAAUUUUGAAAUCAUUUUUUGGUCCAAUGUUACCCCUUAUGACUUGAAUUGGGUAAUAGUCAUUUAUGUCAUAUUGCCUACUACCUAUUGCAUAGGUAUAUAUAUAUAUAUAUAUUUUUUUUUUUUCAUAUUUUCGACAAUGUGUCAUAGUAUUUUAUGUACCUUUUUUUAAUAGGUAACAUAUAAUUUUAUUUUGUCUAUUUUUGUAUCUGACUUAUGGGUAGUCUUCUAAUUUAUGUUCCUAACUUAUAGAUAACACGAUUUAUCACUAAAUAUUUUUCGUUGCUAAUAAUAACACUAUUUACUUGUAUGUCAUGUACAUAAUUUAAUAUGGGUGCUUGUCUGAUCGAUUGGUAUAAUAUGUGGGUCUUUACUUUUUAUUAAUUAAAUCGUAUUUUAUCCAUAUAUUAGGAAUAUUAUCAAAGAAAGAAUUUAAAUUUUAAAUUAUGAAAUUCAAUUACAAGGAAAUAAUGCAUUAAAUUUAGAUUUUCAAUGUGGUUUCCUUAUUUGCCUCAAAGGGUAAAAUUGACACAACAAAAAAAAGUAAUAAAUGUCAAAGGACUUACGUCUAAAACCAAAAACGCGAGCACUAAACCCAAUGAUAGCUAAUCGUUUUGGGCCUAGAUCUAAGAAGCCCUUUUAUUUAUUAUCUAACAUCGUUGCAUGCCAUUGAUAGUGUGCCUAUGGAUGAGGAAGAGAAAGUUGUGCUUGACUGAUGAUUGACGGAAACUUUCGCAAGUAAAUCCUCGAUGCUACUGGUUGAAGGCCCUUUGAUGUUAAAGUUAGCUUAAGGGGAUGAGCGCAAGCUAUCGACAAUGCAAGGGCAUAAGUGUCAAGUAGCAAGUCUUACCCUGUAUCUAGGGUAAGGAGUUAUAUAUAUAGGGAAUUCUGGGUUUUUUUGGGUGCUUAGUUUCGAUGUGGGACUCGUGGGAGUGCCUUCCAAGGCUAACACGCGUCCCAGCAAAUAUCCUAGCGAUGAACUCAAGAACAUCCUGCAAGAUGCCUUCUAAGGCGUAGAAUUUGGCAAGGCAUGCCGAACACACUUACCGGUCGUGGGCCGAUCAGUGAACAAUUGGCGAAUGGAGCUAGAAGCGUCUGCCGUUUGUAGGAUUAGACCUACCAGGAUGGGUUACAGGGCCAUGUUGUGCGUAGAAUCGGUCGUGGGUGCCGAAAAGACCUACCGAUUAGUACUACUGGGCUUGCCAGGGCGGGCCAUGGAGCCUUCCUUCACGUGUCAUGGCAUGAGAUGCGGGUCAGGUAUGAUACAAACAAACUUAAAUUAAUUAAACCCAUCAUGCAAUGCAUUCCCUUUCAAUUUUUUGUGAUAAACUCAUAGAUAAUUGACUAAAUAAACAUCAUCCAAAGUUUCAAUAAAAAUUACCAAGUUUUUUUUACAAUUUCCGUAGUUUUUAUUCAAUUUUUAUCGAUAUCGAUAAUAUCCCGAUAUUUCCAUCAAAAUUUCCGUGUUUUUGAACUAUCGAUAUUUUUAAUACCAUCAAUAUUUUAUACCUUGGCUGUAGGCAUUGAUUAUCAAACUAAUUAUCAGGGGACCAGUUGUUGGAUGACACUUGGGCCAGAUUAGAAGUGCAUUAAAUGUUUCCUUUAGUAAUUCUUGGAAACCUGUGCAAGCUAGAUUGCUUAUAGAGGCGAUCUGUGGUGGAUUUUCCAGUUGUUUUUUAUUUUCUUAUGCUUGAUUUAAUCAAGAAGUGUGAAGGAGUUAUUAUCUAACAUCGUUGCAUGCCAUUGACUAUGGAUGAGGAAGAUAAAGUUGUGCUUGACUGAUGAUUGACGGAAACUUUCGCAAGUAAUCCUCUCUAGCAUUGCUCGUGCCGGAAGUGUAAUUGAGGAGCUGUAUGGGUUUGGUGUUGUGUGAUGAGUAUAUUAAGGCGUAUCAAGGGUAUUUUUGGUAGUUAAAUAGGAUGUACUUAGUUAAUUUUAUAUUUUAAUUUAAAUAUUUGGGUGUACUUAGAUCAUAAGGUGUACUCAGUUAAUUUUAGAAUUCGUUUAACCACACUAUAUUAUUAUUAAUAGUUUUCUAUCAAAACAAACCCUUAAGGUCCUUAACUAUUGGCUUGCAGCCACAUAUAAUUACUGUGGUGACCUUCUCGAAUCAUCAAUUUUUAUUCAUUUAAGUUGUUGAUCAACUGCUGCAGGCAAGUUAUUCUCCUGAACUCGAGUCCCAUCAAGAGCGGGUCAAGGGGGUGAGUAAUUGUCUCAAUUCCACACGUAAACAAACAAAGGCUCACAAAACUCUCCAAAAUAUACGCAUUAAUUCUUUGCUUCUUUUCCCUUUAUAAGAAGAAGAAAGCCGUCUAAUUCAUCAUCACCAACACAAGCAAACUCAACAUCAACAAUGUCGACAAAGUCUAGCAUUACCGUCCUUGCCUUUGCCUUUUGUUUCUUGUCCCUCCUCAGUUUCGCUUACUCCAACACCACCGACGACAAAAUCUCUACCUCACCGGCCUGGUCUACUGUGACAACUGCCAAUUGAAGUCUAUGACCGAGAUGAGUAAGAUGAUAAGAUUUGAAUAUGAGAUUUAUGCAUGCAUGCAUGCACAUUGCCCAUUGAUCAGGUGCACAUCUUUUUAUCUUUUACUUUACUAAUUCUUAAUUAAGAUUCAAUUUAGGACCUAUUUAAAGAGAAGAAAAAUACGAUUUAAAAUAUAUCUUAUAACCUAAUAAUCUCCUAAUCAAAAUAUUAAACUUUUAAAAUGUCACAUAUCAAUUUAGCCCUUAAUUAUACUAAGCUUAAAUUCCAUGGUCCAUACUAGUUUGAUUUUUAUUUUUUAUUUUGGUGUGAAAAUUUGGUAUUUUCUUUAAAAUAAUGUGCUUGAUAGCGUGAAAGUAGCAAAUAAAUAAUGAUGUGUUCAAAUUGGAUUUGAACACACAUCACAACCCAUAUCAUCAUUAAGGCCCUAAAAAUUAAAUCAUUAUGUGCUUGGUUAAUACGUUAAGUAGUUUAUGAAGUGAUUAAGAUCAAAGAGGAUCCAUGACUUGUAAUGGAUCACUUGUUCAUUUACUUAAAAAUAAAUAAAUAAAUAAAUAAAAGCAAAGGACCCACUAGUGUAGUGGUUUGGAGUAUUUACUCCCUUAGGUAAGGUCCUGGGUUCGAGUCCUAGCAUCCGUGUUGUGUGUGUGAGUUUAAUAUGCUAUCGCCCCUUUCAAUAGGAAAGGACCUCAAAAAAAAAAAAAAUAAAUAAAUAAAUAAACUCGCAAUACCGACUCCAUUCGUAAUUCCAUCAAUUACGCGACCAAAACUUCGUCGCUCAAAGUCUUGCGCGACGAAAAACAAUUCGUAGCGCAAAGUCACUUCGCGCGACAAACUUUUGCGCGACGACAAUACAUCGUCGCUCAAAGUCUUGCGCGACCAAAUUUUGCUCGACGAAAAAAAUUCGUCGCGCAAAGUCACUUCGCGAGACAAACUUUUGCGCGACAACAAUACAUCGUCGCUCAAAGUGACUUUGCGCGACGAAACAAUGAACUUCGUCGCGCAAAGUCCUUAUAAAAAUAAAAUAUAUAUAUUUUAAAAUCUUUGCAUGACGUAAUCCAAAUAUUUCGUCGCCUAAACUAAUUUAUUUUUGUUUUUUAUUUUGUAUGCAUAACACUUAAGAAAUUAAACAGUAUAUAUAUUUAUUAAGUAGCUUUAAAUUUAUUAUUUUAGAUCAGAUCGGAUUUUUGUUAGAAAAAUAUAUUAUUGUUGUUCAGAUUGGGUUUUUGUUAGAAAAUAUAUAUUUUAAAUUGACGAUCGAAUUAGUUCAUUGUAUUCAUAUAUGGUCAAGGAGUGUAGCUAUAAAAAGCAUCAAAAUUGGAGUUAAAAUAACCGUUAAAUCGUGAUUUUUCAUUAUAACCGUCGAAAAGUUUUGUCCCAUUACUUGAUCUCUGAAUGUUUAUUUUUUCUGAUUUUUGGCGUAUAUGAUCUCGAAGUAUAAACAAACAAGUUUGACGGUUGGAUCGUUGAAACUAGUUUUGGUGAAUGCAUAUGCCAUCAAAACAAUAUAUUCACUAACAGUUAAGAGUUUAUUUAUACGUUCGUUAAAUAUAACAUAAGAUUUUGUGGUAUCCACUAGUGUAAAUAUUUUAAAUUGAAGAUCAAAUUCAGUCGUUGUAUUCACAUAGGGUCAAGGAGUGUAGCUGUAAAAAAUCAUCAAAAUCGGAGUUAAAAUAACCGUUAAAUCGUGAUUUUUCAUUAUAACCGUCGAAAAGUUUUGUCCCAUUACUUGAUCUCUGAAUGUUUAUUUUUUCCGAUUUUUGGCGUAUAUGAUCUCGAAGUAUAAACAAACAAGUUUGACGAUUGGAUCAUUGAAACUAGUUUUGGUGAAUGCAUAUGCCAUCAAAACAAUAUAUUCACUAACAAUUAAGAGGUUAUUUAUACGUUCGUUAGAUAUAACAUAAGAUUUUGUGGUAUCCACUAGUGUAAAUAUUUUAAAUUGAAGAUCAAAUUCAAUCAUUGUAUUCAUAUAUGGUCAAGGAGUGUAGCUGUAAAAAAAAUCAUCAAAAUCGGAGUUAAAAUAACCGUUAAAUCGUAAUUUUUCAUUUAUAACCAUCGAAAAGUUUUGUCUCGUUACUAGAUCUCUGAAUGUUUGUUUUUUGCGAUUUUUGGGGUAUACGAUCUUGAAGUAUAUACAAAUAAGUCUGACGGUUGGAUCGUUGAAUGGUGUGUGUAUAUAUAUUUAUUUAUUAAGUAGCUUUAAAUUUAUUUAUUUUGUACGUAUAACACUUAAGAAAUUGAAUAGUAUAUAUAUUUAUUAAGCAGCUUUAACCUUAUUUAUAUUUUAAAUUGUAAAAUAAAAUAAUUUUAUUUUUAUUAUUCCUAACAAUUAUUUUUAUAAAUAUUGUGUUACGAACCAAUUUUUCGUCUCUCAAAAGUUUGCGCAACCAACAGUUUGUCGCGCAAAACUCUAAAAAUUUGGACGGGUACCAAAAAUGGGACGCGGGAUUUUUAAAAAAAAUAAAAAAAAUUUAGACUUUGUGCGACCAAUAUUUUUUGUCGCUCAAAACUUUGCGCGACCAAUAUAUAUUUUUCGUCUCUCAAAAAUUUGGGCAGGUACCAAAAAUGGGAAGCGGGAAUUUUUUUAGACUUUGCGCGACUAGUAUGUAUUUUUCGUCGUGCAAAAAUUUAAAAAUUUUGGCAGGUACCAAAAAUGGGACGCGGGGAUUUUUAUUUUUUUAAAUAAUUUUUUUAGACUUUGCGCGACCAAUAUUCCUAUAUUCGUCGCGCAAAAAUUUAAAAAUUUUGGCGGGUACCGAAAAUGGGACGCGGGGAUUUUUAUUUUUUUAAAUAAUUUUUUUAGACUUUGCGCGACCAAUAUUCCUAUAUUCGUCGCGCAAAAAUUUAAAAAUUUUGGCGGGUACCGAAAAUGGGACGCGGGGAUUUUUAUUUUUUUAAAUAAUUUUUUUAGACUUUGCGCGACCAAUAUUCCUAUAUUCGUCGCGCAAAAAAUUAAAAAUUUUGGCUGGUACCAAAAAUGGGACGCGGGGAUUUUUAUUUUUUUAAAUAAUUUUUUUAGACUUUGCGCGACCAAUAUUCCUAUAUUCGUCGCGCAAAAAUUUAAAAAUUUUGGCGGGUACCAAAAAUGGGACGCGGGGAUUUUUAUUUUUUUAAAAUAUUUUUUUUAGACUUUGCGCGACCAAUAUUCCUAUAUUCGUCGCGCAAAAAUUUAAAAAUUUUGGGGGGUACCAAAAAUGGGACGCGGGGAUUUUUAUUUUUUUAAAAUAAUUUUUUUAGACUUUGCGCGACCAAUAUUCCUAUAUUCGUCGCGCAAAAAUUUAAAAAUUUUGGCGGGUACCAAAAAUGGGACGCGGGGAUUUUUAUUUUUUUUAAAUAAUUUUUUUAGACUUUGCGCGACCAAUAUUCUUAUAUUCGUCGCGCAAAACUUUGCGCGACCAAUAUGUUUCGUCGGGCAAAAGUUUGCGCGAUCAAUAUUCCAAUAUUUUUCGUCGCACAAACCUUUGCGCGACCAACAAUAUUUUUCGUCGCGCAAAGUGAUACGGUUUUUAAAACCGAAAUAACUCAUCCACCAUUUUCUCAAUGCCUUUCUCUACUCUUACCUCUCCUUUCUCUUUCCCUCUCCCCAAAUCCCACCAUUUCUCUCACUUACUCCUCUCACUUAAUCUCUCAUCUCUCUCUCACUCACUCUCUCAUCUCUCUCACUCACUCUCUCAUCUCUCUAUCACUAUCUUCUCUAAUUCUCUCACACUCACUUCUCCCUCUCAUUCUCAUUCACUCUCAAUCUUGCCAAAAGGUAUAUUCUCUCCAAAUUUUAAAUUUUUUUCAUUAAUAUGUGUUUUUGGAGUUAAUUUUGAGUUUGUGUGGGUUUUAGGGUUGAGUAAAGGGGAGGGAUUGGAGUUUGGGUUGGAUUUGUGGUAUAACAAUUUUAGGGGAGAUUAUGCCUUCUUUUUUUUUUUUUUUGUGGUUAUUUGACCAUAUUUAUUUUUUUUGUAGGGAAUCAUCGAGACUUUGACGGCUAAAGUUGAGGAUUAGGAAGCUAUCAAAACAUCUCCUCUGCCACUACCACCACAAUACGCUUGUAUUAGGGUUUUAUUAUUGUACUUUGUUAAUUUAUGUGAACAUUUUGAAUAUUAUAUAUAUAUAUAUAUUUAUUGGAUAAUUUAAUCACUAUUUUUCAUAUGUAAUUUUAUUUUGAAUAUGUCAAUUUAAAUUAAAGUAAUUAAAAAAAUCAUACAAUUAAAUUAAAUUUAAAAAGUAAAAAUUAAUAUCAAUUUAAAUUAAAGUAAUUUUAAAAAGAAAUCAUACAAUUAAAUUAAAUUUAAAACGUAAAAAUUUGAAAAAAUUCAUAUAAAUAAAUUCAUAUUAAAGAAAUAAUAAAACAAAAAGUCAAAAAUCUUGCGCGACAAAAUAUUUCGUAGCGCAAACUAUUAAAUUAGUUUAUUUUAAAUUAAAAACAUUUAAAACAAAAAAUAUUUCGUCGCGCAAAACUCAAAAAAUUUGGGCAGGUACCAAAAAUUGGACGUGGGAAUUUUUUAGUUUUUUAAAAUUUUUUUUAGACUUUGCGCGACCAAUGUUUUUCGUCGCGCAAAACUUUGAGCGACCAAUAUAUUUCGUCGCGCAAAUCUUUGCGCGACUAAUGUAUUUCGUCGUGCACAACUUUGCGCUACCAAUAUUUUUCGUCGUGCAAAGUCACUUUGCGCGACCAAUCUUUUUCGUCGCGCAAAGUCGCUUUGUGCGACCAAUAUUUUUUCGUCGCGCAAAGUCACUUUGCGUGACCAAUGAAAAAAUUCGUCGCGCAAAGUCUUUCUUCACGAUCUUUGCGCGACGGAUUCUGCGCGACGAAGUUUCUGUCUCGCUGAAAUUUGUGCGACUACAAUGUAUUUUGCGCGACGAAAUUCUCUUCGUCGCGCAAAGUGUAAAAUGUAGUAGUGGUACCAGUUGUGCUUAUUUACUUUUUACCAUGGCUCUCACAAAUCAAGAGACCUCUGCUUAGCUUUUCUUUUUAUUUUGGCCAUUUGCUCCUCUCAAGCAUCAUCUCACUAAAUUUAUGAUGAGACUGGAUGGCUCAAUUUGGGCCAGUUUUUUUUAUAAGGAUGCUGAGGAGAAGGAGAGGCGAUUCAUGAUAGUCAAGGCCAACUUGGAGUUCAUUAAGGCUUUUAACAAACACAUGAGCCAGAACUACUUCACACUAAGCUUAAAUGAAUUUGCAGACCUAACCAAUGAGGAGUUUCGGGAAAUUCGUAAUGGUUACACGAAACGAUCCUCCAAAUCGAUCAUGUCCAAUUCCACGAAAGCUACAUGUUUUAGAUAUUGAAAUGUCACUGAUGUGCCACCUUCAGUGGAUUGGAGAGAAAAGGGUGCAGUGACACCUAUCAAGGACCCAGGCAAAUGUGGUAAGUAUUAAACAAGUUGUUAAAUGAUGACGCAUUCACUGUUUCACAACCUAACAUGUUAUUGAAUGAUGAGGCAUGUUAUUUCAAUUUUAUAGGGUGUUGUUGGGCAUUCUCAGCAGUGGCAGCUACAAAAGGGGUUAACAUGCAAGCUCAAAGCCAGAAACUUAAUCUCACUAUCAGAGCAAGAGCUUGUGGAUUAUGACACUACAGGUCAAGAUCAUGGCUGUGAAGGUGGUCUAAUGGAUGACGCUUUUCAAUUCAUCCACGCAACAAAGGCUGACAACUGAAGCUAAUCACUUCUACCAGGGUUACAACACUCAGAAGGCUGCAUCCCAAACAGUGUCCAUAAAUGGGUACGAGGAUGUGCCUAAAAACAACCAAAAUGCUAUGUUGCAAGCCGUCGCUAACCAACCAAUUUCUUUUGGAAUUCAGACUAUGAUCUGAAUUAUAACUUGCCUUCUACAAAUACUACUGAAUGAGUAAAGGUUUCAGAGAGAUUUUCAGAAUGAGAGAGAGCUCGAGGAAAGAGCAAAAAGAUGAAUUCUAUUCUUCUUCUCACGCACACACUGUGCACUAAUAACAGUUGGAACAGGAAAUUCCCAAAUUACAUCAUUCAAAUCUAGCCAUCCAUUCUUCUAUUCUAAGAUUACAUCUUAGCUGUCCACUUGGAUUGUAAUCCAAGGGCUCACAUUUAAAUCUGUAAAUUUGAACUAAAUACAACAUCAUAUCAGCAAAAACAGUUAUAUUUCAACACUCCCUUCUAAGUGUUUAGCUGAGAUUACUCCAAGCUUUCUUCUCAGGUAUUCAAACCAAUCUCUUGCUAGAGCCUUAAUAAAGAUGUCUGCAGUCUGCUCUUCAAUUUUGCAACAUAGUAAAUCAAUCUCUCCAUUUUGCAAAGCAUCUCGGAUGAAGUGAAACCUCCUGUUUAUAUGCCUUGUCUUAUGAUGAUGCACAUGAUUCUUGGUUAUGGCAAUAGCAGAGGUAUUAUCACAUAGAAUUGUAGUAGCACCCACAUGUUCUUCACCAAUGUCUGAGAGAAUGAAGCGCAACCAGAUUGCUUGUGCAGUAGCUUCUGCUGCACUAACAUACUCUACUUCUACUGUAGACAGAGCUACACUACUUUGCUUGACUGAAGCCUAGGAAAACAUACCUGAUCCAAGAUUAAAUGCAAAUCCAGAGGUGCUUCUCAUGUCAUCCUCGCUCCCCGACCAAUCACUGUCACAGUAGCCAAUGAGCCUUGCUUCUUUGCCUUUCUCAUAUGCUAUGCCACAAUCAAAUGUGCCUUGAAUGUACCUCAAUACCCUUUUGGCAGUUCCCAUAUGUUUUCUAGUAGGUCCAUGCAUAAAUCUAGCCAAAAGACUUGCUGCAACCAUGAUGUCUGGCCUUGUUGCAGUCAAGUACAACAGAUUUCCAACUAUCUGCCUAUAAACCCCUUCAUCAGCUUGUUCACUUCCAUCUUCCUUGGAUAGCUUUUCAUUCAUUGCAAGAGGAGUAGCCACUGCUUUAUAGUCCUUGAAGCCAAAUUUGUCUAGCAAUGUCUUAGCAUAUUUCUUCUGGUGCAAGAAAAUGUAAGACUCAGUUUGUAUCACUCCUAACCCCAAGAAAUGGUGAAGCAAACCAAGAUCAGUCAUUUCAUACUGCAUCACCAUUUCAGUUUUGAACUCCAUGAUCAAGGCUUUUGAGCUUCCAGUGUAGAUAAUAUCAUCUACAUAUAAAGAAACAAUAAUAAUACUACUUUCUGCAGCCUUUACAUAUACUGUUGCCUCACUAGGACUUCUCUGGAAACUUGCCUUGAUGAAGUAAGAAUUGAUUUCUUCAUACCAAGCUCUUGGAGCUUGUUUAAGUCCAUAUAAUGCCUUCUUGAGUCUAUACACUCUAUCCUCUUUGUUCUUAAUCAUAAAACCAGGAGGUUGAUCCACAUACACCUCUUCAUGCAAUACUCCAUUCAAGAAUGCAGACUUCACAUCUAACUGAAAUAGUUUCCACCCCUUUUGUGCAGGCAAUGCCACCAAUGUUCUAAUGGUAUCCAGCCUAGCAACAGGUGCAAAUGUUUCAUUGAAAUCUAUCCCUGGCUUUUGAGAAUAGCCCUUUGCCACUAGCUGAGCCUUGUCUUUUUGAACUGUACCAUCUAAAUUCAGCUUGGUUUUAUAAAUCCAUUUGACACCAAUUACUGGUUUAUCAGUUAGUCUAUCAACCAACUCCCAAGUUUUGUUCUUCUCUAUAAUUUCUAUCUCAUUCUCCAUUGCUUUCUGCCAUGCUUCAUCCUUAACAGCCUCUUCAAAGGUCUCAGGCUUGAUAAUACACAAGUUACAUCUUGCAUACACUUCUGCAAUACUCUUGUAUUUCAGAGGUGUGUGAUCAACAUCCAGUGAUCCUGAGUCAGGAUCAACAUGCCCCUCUUCUGAAAUCUCUUCUUGACUCAGGCUAGAAUCAUUAGAUUCCUCUUCUCUCUCAGUGAGUGUCUCAUUAAGAGGUAUUGAGAUAUCACAUUCCUUUUGUGCAUUUCAAUCCCAAAUAGAUGCCUCAUUGAAUAUCACAUCCCUGGAAAUAAUCAUUUUUUUCAGAUGCAAUGUUAUAUAGUCUGAAGCCUUUUCACAGUUGCCAUACCCUUCUGCCUUUGUUGAUUUGGAACAUGUGCAUAGCACAAAGAACCAAACACUCUUAAAUGCUUAACUCCUAGCUUUCUACCACUAUAAGCUUCAAAUGGAGUUUUCUUGUCUAAGGCCUUAGUUGGACAUCUAUUCUGGACAUACACUGCAGUGUUUACUGCCUUAGCCCAAAAUUCUAGAGGCAUCUUCUUCUCAAUCAUCAUGCAUUUAGCCAUCUCCAUAAUUGUUCUGUUCUUUUGUUCUGCUAUUCCGUUUUGCUAUGGUGAAUAUGUCACAGUUAGCUGCCUUUCCAUUCCCAUGUCUUCACAAAAUUUGUUGAAUUCAUUGGAAGUAUAUUCGCCCCCCUGUCACAUCUUAUUUUCUUCAAUUUAUAUCCACUUUGCAGCUCAACAGUGGCUUUAAAUUUCUUAAAGACAUUAAGGACUUUUGAUUUGUAUCUCAAGAAAUAGAUCCAACACAUACGAGUACAAUCGUCUAUGAAGGUAAGAAAAUAUCUAUUUCCAGCUUUGGUAAUAGUCUGCAUUGGUCCACAUACAUUUGUGUGUACCAACUCGAGUGGGAUUCUGGCAAUCCAAGUACCAUUCCCUGAUCUUGCAGCAGCUUCAAACUGGUGAAGUUUAAAUGCCCCAUUCUUCUAUGCCAAACUAAAGUUGAUGACUCUACAUUUGCUCUUAAUGCAACCUGUAAAGUUGUGUGAAGCUUCAAAGGAAAACUUAUGUCGCCUUUCAGUUGCACCUUAGCAACUAGAUUUGAUAAAGAACAAUCAUCAUAAAUUUCAACCUUAUUAGCUCCAAAAAUCAGAACAUAUCCAUGCUUCAUCAUUUGCCCUACACUGAGCAAAUUCUUCUUGAGACCAGCAACUAACAGCACUCCUUUGACAUACCUUCUUCCCAUCUUAGUGUCAACAACAAGAUUUAAUUUCCUUUUCCAACAACAUUAACCAAUUGUCCUGUCCCCAUUGCAACUUUUGCAAUUAUAUUCCUAUCAACAUCAACUAAUACAUCUUCUCUCCCAGUCAUAUGGUUGCUAGAUCCGCUAUCCAAAUACCAUAUUGUUCACCCGUUUUGUGUUUGUUCCUGUGAUGGUAGGGCAAAAUUCCCCAUUGCCUUGAAAAUCAUUGACUGGUCAACAAGUCAACUUUCUUUAGUGUGCGAGCGUGCCACUACUAGCAAUGAGAAAUCCUAGAAGACUUUAAAAAUAGAUAACUUGCACCCCAAGUUACUGAUUUCUAAUCAAACAGUUGUGAAUUUGGGUGAGGAAUAUCUCCCAAGUAAGUUCUUUUCUUGCCUCAGACUGGUGAGUACUUCAUAAUUUUUCACAGUAUAAAACUGGUAGUUCUGGCCAGAAUAAAUGAUGAGAAAAUGAACUGUUUUGAGGUAGAAUUGCCUUUUACAAAACUCAAAAGGGAAAAGCCAACUCUAGAAAGACAAAAAGAAGGCUGGACUUCCAUUUCUGCAUGGAUAGAUGCUUCUGAUCCAGGCUGGACUAGACUAUCAGCAACUUCAACUGUCAAGUUUCAGCUGUAAAUCGAUACCAACGUUCGAGUUUGGCAGAGCUUUAAUCUAUUUCAAGCCCUGGAAGGCUUUUUGAACGGACAGAAUUACGGCCUAUUCAGUCUGAAGGGUGCAGAAGUGGCUGGACUCAAGGAUUAUUGAGCUGGAACUGCAUUGUGAUACUUGUUCUACUUGAUCAGGGUUCUCCAUAAAUUUGUUGAGGUUUUCAUUUUUGUGAAAACCCAAGCUCUGCUUGUUUUGGCUUUUGCUGAACCAAAUUUGUAACAAGAGAAAUCUCAUUUUAAAUGACUUUUCUCUAAGUCUGAAAUUGAUUUGUAGUUGGCUUCUUUCUUCUUGAAAUUGAUUUGUAGUUGGCUUCUUUCUUCUGGCUCAAUGAGCUUUUGGUUGCUUCAGUUUGUUUGAAGGUUCUUUGAGAUCAAGUGAUCAUUUUGAGUUUUUGUCUUUUGACUGAUUUUUUGGUUGUUUGAUUGAUUGUCUGAUCUUUUGCUCUGUUCACCCUCUCCUAUAUUUAUAAGAGAUGCUUUGUAGUGGUGCUUCUAAUUCUUUUAAUAAUGGGCGGAAAAAUUUCUCAAAAGAUCUUUCAUUUUUAAAUGCAAAGAAAAAGGGUUUUUAUCAAUUCUGGCAGAUAAGCUUUCUAUAGUCAGUUCCUAAGGCAGUCACUUCCCUGUAUUUCUUGAAAAAGAAACCUAACCCUUCUUCCAAUUUAACUGCUCUUUGUAAGAGUUCAAACUGUGAUGGUUUAGUUUUGAUCUUCCAGAUGAACAACUCCCUGCUUCCCACUUAUCUUUUUAGAAAAUAUGGCCUGCUUAUCCCUUGGAAAUGAUAUCUAACGAAUUUUUUUGGAUAUAGAAAAGGAUUCUGAUCUUUUAGCCCCAAAGUUUCAGGGAAGUCUCUCUGCUAAUGACCUGCUUUCAUUAAUUACCAAUCUACUCUCUUGUGACAGUUGAAAUUGUUGACUUUUUAAAGUCAGGUAUUCACGUGGGCUCUGAGAAUAGACUUUCCAAAAAUCAGCUGAUCUUAUACUCCGUGUUUUGAGAUAAAUGGUGAGUACUUAGAUGCUGGGCCCAAUCCAAUUCUUUUUUAUCUACUUUAGUGGUCAAUUGCCACUUAAUUUGGCCUUCUUUUUUUUUUUUUACAACUUUGCCAUUUCGUAAAAGACGUGGGCCUUUCUUCUUUUUUAAUUAUGCCAAGCCCAGUUUGAGUUGAGCUAUGGGCUGAUUUCUUUCUUUUCUUCCUUUUCGAAGCCCAAGUUUAUUGUCGUGGUUUCGAUAGAUCACGGGCUGGGCUUUUUUGAAUUUUGGGCCCUCGAUUCCUGUUUAUUUUGCAAAGCCCAGACUGCUUGGGCCCUGUGGCUUUAUUCUGGGCUCUAUAGUGUUGGGCUAGGUGCACAGGAUUUUGGCCCCAACACAUACAUCAUCACAUCCUUUUACACUAGCAGAACCUUUAUUACUAGCAUAAAACAUGGUUGGUGUGGAUUCGGUCUGAGUAGCAUAGUUGAGCUGUUGUGCUGGUUUCUUGCUAUAGCAAUCUUUUGCAAUAUGACCAAAUUUGUCACAGUUGUAACAUUUUGGUUUUCCCUUAAACCGAAAAUCACCAAAAUGUAGUUCGCCACAAUGUUUGCAGGGGUUUCUGGCUCCAUCAGUUGAUAUAUUAUCCCACUUUUUGCCUUUUGUCCUCCAAUUCCUUUGAUCCCUAAAACCACUUUGACUUCCACUGUAAUUUUUUGAUUGGGAUUCACACAAAGACUAGCAAAUGCUUUCUCAGUCUUAUCUCCAAAGUGCCUAUCUAGCCAUAAUUCAAAACUCUUCAAAGAGGUUACCACUUCUUGUACCUCAAUUUCAUCCAAAUCCUUAGAAUGCUCAAUAACAGAACAGAUUGAAUCAUAAGCUGAUGGCAAACUGAUUAGUAAUUUUUGAACAAUCCUUGCUCUAGCUAAAUCCUUUCCAUAGCUCCUCAUUUGGUUUAUCAGAUCAAACGGUUUGGUAAGAUAAGCAGAAAGGGACUCAUCAUCUCUGAUUCUUGUAUAUUCAAAUUCUCUACAUAGACCUUGCAAUUUAACACUUCUAACCUGUUUAUCACCAUGGAAUUCCUUCAUCAAGAUAUCCCAAGCUCCCUCAAAGGUUUCUUCAUGAGAGAAUCGAGGGAAGAUCUCAUCAGACGCUGCUCCUUGAAUAAGACCCAGAGCUUUAGCAUUCUUCAUGAGUAGCUCAGUGAGAGUCAUCUUCCAAGCACCACUCGAUUCUUCCUUUUCUUUCUUCUUUGCAUCAGAUUCUCCAGCUCCCUUCGAAUUUGAGCACUCUAUUCCCUUCUCAACCAAUUCCCAAAGCCCAUGAGAUUUGAAAAUGGUUUUCAUUCUUAUGCUCCAAUUUUCGUAGUUAUCACCGCCAAAGAUCGGCACUCUCAGCUCACCACCUCCAUACCCUGCCAUGUUAGACACAAAUCGCGAAACCACUUUUCCAAAUUUCAGCUAGUUUUCUUCACAGAUUUAAUCGCCCAAAGUUAAACAAUAGAACCUGGCUCUGAGGCCAUGUUAGAAUUCAAACUAUGAUCUGAAUUAUAACUUGCAUUCUACAAAUGCUACUGAAUGAGUAAAGGUUUCAGAGAGAUUUUUAGAAUGAGAGAGAGCUUGAGGAAGGAGCAAAAAGAUGAAUUCUAUUCUUCUUCUCUCGCACACACUCUGCACUAAUAACAGCUGGAACAGGAAAUUCCCAAAUUAUAUCAUCCAAAUCUAGCCAUCCAUUCUUCUAUUCUAAGAUUACAUCUUAGCUGUCCACUUGGACUGUAAUCCAAGCGCUCACAUUUAAAUCUGUAAAUUUAAACUAAAUACAACAUCAUAUCAGCUAAAACACUUAUAUUUCAACAUUUCGGUUGCCAUUGACGCAAGUGGCUGUACAUUCCAGUUUUAUUCAAGUGGUGUGUUCACUGUGGUAUAAACUUAGAUCAUGGUGUUACCGCAGUUGGAUACGGGACUAGGACUAGUAGUGAUGGGACUAAAUACUGGCUGGUGAAGAAUUUUUAGGGCACAUGGUUGGGGGAGGAUGGAUAUGUGACGAUGCAAAGGGGCAUUCCUGCCAAGGAAGGACUCUGUGGCAUUGCUAUGGAAGCUUCUUAUCCAACCGCAUGAUUAAUUAAAAUGCAUAUAUGUCAUAAUAUAGUGUGGUGUAUAAAAUAUGUAUAAUUGAAUAAUAUAGAAAGACGCUAGCUAUGAGCUGCUAUCCUUCCACUUUGAAAUCCAUGCCUCAAAACAUAGAAACAAUUAACCCAUGACGUGGAUUUGCUCUUAAAAUCUCACUCAAUGAAUUAGCAGCUAUAGCUAUGAGGUUGACAUGUUUUCAUUACCAUUGCAAGGUUAAAUCAAGUUAGAUUAAGGGUGCAUAUUUUUGCUCACCAUCAUUCUUAAUAUUUGACAUGUGUCUAUGGGUAUAACCAUAUAGUUCUAUAAAUAUAUAACUAUGAUUAUGUCAAUGAACACGUGUCAAGUGUUAAAAUGGGUAGUGAGAGUACACAUUUGGUUAAAGUGGUGAGUAAAUAUAUUCCCUUAGAGUAAUCACAUGAUCAUGUCACUGAUCCUACAAGGUAAAACUGUGAAACGACGUCAUUACACUUGUUCGGAGGUGGCAUGGAUUGGAAACACGUAAUUAACCAUAUAUAUAACAUCAAUUUACAACUUAAUUAUACUUAUUCUUAAAGCCAUUUCUGAUCGGACAUUUUUGGAGAAAUUAAUUUCUCAGGCAAGUAAAUGGCAGCAGAAGAGGACCGGAAAAUUUAGGUGCCAGUAGAAGAGAAAAACUCUCUCGCACGUACCUGGUUUAUGGAAGUUUGCUGUAACAGGAGAGCUAGAUAAAACUUAAUUUGAAAAAUUCUAGGAUACGUAACUAGAGCUUACAAGGUGGUGUUGUUGACUGGCUACAACUUCAAAUACAAACCGUUGAGCUAGCUUGCUGUGCGCAGUAUAUAAAGAUUAUUUAGGACUAGCUAGGCUCAUAAUUAAUAUAUACAUAUAUAUAUAAUUACUUUAUAUUUUUAAAGAGGGGGAAGUACAAUAUUAUGAUGAAGAGAUGAGUCUUUUUGCCAAUUAAAAUGCACCAUUUAUAUAUUCUGUAUCCAGAUUACCUUUUGCAUGAUCUUGCCAUGAACAUCCAAAAAUGCACCAAUCUAGUUAAAAUUCAAAACAAAUUUAAAGAUUUUUACAUCGUAGUUAAAGGAAAUUCAUUGUUCCUAUAACUUGUGCUUCCUAUACACACACAAAUUCCAUGAAUCAAUUGACAAUGUGAUAUUAAUAUUACCAUAUAACAUUUUCAACAUUUUCAUCUCGUCCUAGCAUUCAAGUAAAGAAAAGAAUACACGUAUACUUGGAUUGUUGAUGUCUAACUUUGACUCAACGGAUUAAGAUCGUAAAAACGACACAUUCACAUCAUGACACACACUCAAGUCAGGCUACGUCCAUAAUAUACAAUUAGUGAACUGAAUUACAUGAAUCUACAAGUACGGGAUAUAAAAGCUACAAGCCCUACAUGCUACAAUAUCUGUCCUAUUUUUGGGUCAACUGUUCCUUAUUCUCUUUGAUAGUACAAUCGAGUUUACAUGUUAGGAUCCUAACGGGGAUAUUAAAUGCUGAAAAGGAAAUAAUCAAUUCCCAAUAAGCCCUUAAGAUCGUCUAACCAAGAUACAAGCCUCAUAUAUAUCUUAACAAAUCUUUCUAGUUCUUAAAGGUUAUAGCAUCCAUCUCUCUCUCUCUCUCUCUCUCUCUCUCUCUCUCUCUCUCUCUCUCUCUCUCUCUCUCUCUCUCUAUAUAUAUAUAUAUAUAUAUAUCCUCUCAUAUAAGUCCAAAUUAUCAUGAUAUUUGUCUUUAAAGAAUUAAUUAACAUACUUAUCACCGCGCAGAAAAUUAAUUUAUGUCUUCAAGAUGUCUAUAGAGCAUUAUUAAACUAAUCCUAAAAUAAAUAAAUAUUUUUAUUCUUAGUGCAAUGUGGAAAUAUCUUUAAAGAAUAGAAUAUUUCACCAAUAUAGAAGAGCGGCUAUACUCAACAAAUAUAAAUUUUCAAUAGUCUAGCCGAGUGGCUGUACUCUAUAAAUAUAAAUUUUUUAACAGUACAACCGCAUGGCUAUACUCUUUAAAUAGAAAUUUCAAAAUUAUAGCCGUCCGGCUAUACUAGUUAAAUAGAAUUUUUCCAACAGUAUAGUCGCACGGAUAUACAAAAUCGCUUUUCUCAUUCAACGAAGUAGUUUUUCAUUUUUAUUUUUUCUGUAACGGGGCGGGUCAGGGAACCAGUUCCUUAAUAAAGGCUGGUAUGGGCCAAUGGCGGAUUGAAGACCGACAUAUUCUGAAUAUGGGCACCAAUAUACCGGUCGACUAGUUCUCCUAGCCAGUGGCAGUGGUUGCGGUUGAUUUCCCCCAUGAUCACCUAUUGGACAACCUUUGCCUUUUCUGUUCUUGGUGUUUCACCAUUUUGGCCAACCAUAGUCUCUAGUACCUCGGCCAUACUUAAUUCCAGUCACCUUAAAUGUAACCCAAAAUACUUGGUCGAACUCAUUCAUUUUUGCCCGCCUUAGGUGGCUUUUGGCAGCGCUUAAUUUUUUUUAAAAGCAACUUUAAUACAAAUUUGGCAUGAGUUGGGUGUUUGGUAAACCCAAAAAAACACGCUUAUUUUAAAAACACCCAUCAUAAAAAGCAAAAACUCAACGUCAGGUAUAUGGAGCUUUCAAAAGCUGUUUAAAAAAAGAGCUGGUUUUCUUGUUAAUGAAAGUUUCAUUAUCCCUAUAGUACCCCUAAGUAUUUCACAAAAUGACAACGUUUGACCCUCUCACAAAAUAGAUCUCGCGACCUUCACACUUUCUGACCUCACUCUCAGACUGCUCUUCUCACUAUUCUUCUUCUUCCUCCCCCUGCAUCUCAAAACUCCAUCUCAAUCAAGGACUUUAAUUGCCAACAACAAUCAGCUACUUAUCAGUGAGUUCAUCUUCCCAUUACAUUUAUGAUUUUUGGGUUUAUAUAUGUUAUGAAAUUAGGUUUUUCAUUUGGUUCUAUGCAAUUGGGGGCUUUGUGUUCUUGAGGCUUUAAGGGGAAAAUACGGGAGAGACAGAGAGAGAGUUUUGCUGCAAGUUUUGUACUGGGUUUGUCUCUCCUUGCUCUUUGACAAGGAGAGAUUUCUCCCUAGCUUGGUUCAAUUGGCCUUUGGGUCAGAUACUUCUCUCUCUGUUUCUAUUUCUCUGAAACAUGUCUGUCCUGGAUGCUUUUUUUCUAUAGAUUACACAACCAUCAUUGUUCAUAGAUUUACUCAUUGUAUAGUUUGGUACAGUUCCAAAAUAUCAAGAACAAAACCCGUUAUGCUAAUCUGGUUCUUUAUAUACAUAAAUAUAAAUAUAAAUAAAUAUAUAUAUAUAUAUAUACAGUCCCCUUCUAUUGAGAGAUCUCUCAAAUAAUUUUAUUUGAGGGACGCCCUUAGGGUACCCUACAAUUUUCUUUCCAAUGAUCCAAACCAUCUAUUUUUUAGGUCUUCAUUCAUAAAUCAUCCUUACAAAAAAUUAGAUAAAUCGGAAACCGUUUUGACAUCCAAUUGUAUCUUACAAAAUCAAUGAACACGUUCCUUCAAGAAAGUACUAAAAUUUCAAUAACUCAAAUGAGUGGUCAAAUGAUAUCAUAUUCGAGUAAUUUUUUUGUAGAGAUGAUCUUUGAAUGAAUAUCUACAAAAUAGACUGUUUGGAUUAGUUAAAUACAAUUCGGAGUGGGGCCUAUAAGGAGUGUCCCUCAAAUACUUAUUUGAGGGAUCCCUCAAUGGAAACUCUCUGUAUAUAUAUAUAUAUAUAUAUAUAUAUAUAUAUGAUUGCAACCCAAGUCCCCAAGUCAGGUCCGUGUUGAUUUUUCCAUUGUCCUAACCUUGUUGUCUUCAAGCUCAAACAUAAUUCCUUUGGACUUUAGUUUUAGUUCUCUUUUAGUUAGAAGACAAGAAAAGAGUGAAGAAGCCAUUAGCUCCAGAUCUGGGGCUUCUGUUUUCUCAAGAAUUUUUUUAAAAAAAAAAAAGAUCCUAUUAUGUGAAACUGCUGUUCCAUCUAAGUUGUCAUCCAUUAUUGUGUUAGAAGAUUUUUGGUAAACAAAGCUUUUAUUUUUUAGUGGUCAUAGUUUCAAGUUCUUCCUUAUUAUUAUUUUUCAGUGUCGGUGGACUUUAUUAUUGUGUUAGAAGAUUUUUGAUUGGGUAAUGGUUUGAAGUUCUUCCUUCUAUUUAUAUUUUUUUGUGUUGGUGGGCUUUAUCAAAAGUGAUUGUAGCAUGCUGGUCAUUGUGGUGGGGAACUCAUAAACUGACAUAUGGUUGAAAUAUAAAAAUUUUGUAAAUUGGUAUGAAAUUGCAUUCUCAGUAAAUUAUGGGAAUGCAAUAUCAUCUUGCCUUAGAACAUAUGAUAGAAACAAAACAUUUUAACCACAACACAGACUUAAGAGAUUCAAUAAACUGUUCCCUAGUAAGCUGGAAAUAUUGGCUAAGACUUUAUGUUAUCUUUGUCUCCUCUUGGCAGAAUAGGCUUGCUAGUUCCUCAAGUAAUAUAUGUUAAAGAUUAGGAAAAUUAUAUAGUUCUUGUUCUUAGGUCAAUUGUGAAGGUGAUCAGUUUAUUUUCAUGUGUGGAUUCUUUUCGUUCUUGGUUUUCUUUCAUGAAUCAUUAGGAAUACUCUAUGCUUGGACUCUUUGUCCCUUGUUGAGAAUGAGAAGUGGGUUUAAGGAAGUUUUGUUGGGAGCCAUCAUCAUUUUUAAACAUAUAGCAUAUAGUGGAUAAUAUAGAUGAAUAUUCAUACCUGUGGGAAAAGGAAAGUUUGUUAUUUUUAUGCUUUUAGUAUAAUGUAUAUCUUGGGACAAUUAUUUGCUAUUAUCUAUUUCUCAUACUCAACACAUAUUGCUUUAGUAAGGAUGGGAAAGAAUGUGAGAAGUUCAUCAAAAGCUCCAGCGACAUGGAAUAACCAUAAUAUAUCCAUAUUCUGUGAUUUGUGCAUCAAGGAGAUAUGCCUAAUUAUCCAUUCAACAAGCAAGUGAAGAUAGUCAUUGCUACAAUGACACUUCAUAAUUAUAUAAGGAGGCAUGCCCAACGUGAUAGACAUUUUGAUGCUUCAAAUGAUAUCUUAAGUGAAGAGAUAGGUGAGGAUGUUGAUGUACAACAAGAAGUUCAUAGUCUUAAUGACAAUGGAACACAAGAGAUGGAAGCAUUGAGAAAUAGCAUCGCUACAAGUUUCAUGAAUGCAUCUAAUUAGCUUCUUUUAUAUUGUAGUGAUCCAUUUUGGCAUGUUAAAAUUGAACAAUUUUUGUAUAUUUGUUAUGCUAACCCUCUCCGAAGCCCUCAAAACACAUUGUUAUUAUUAAUAUAACAAUAUUUAGAACUACUUUUGUUACAAUAUUAAUUUAUAAUUUAUGGUAAUAUAUGUGUGCUAAUUGUAGAUUACAAAUUUUGAUAAAUUAAAAAUGUGUAAAUUAAAAAAGAAAACAAAUUUAUGUAGUGAAGUUUGUUUUCUUUUUUUUAAAGUAGAAAAAGAAUGAAGAAAAAAAGAAACCGUUUCAUCAUCAUGUCCUUUUCGUUCAUUAUACAUACUAAAAGCACUUCUGAUAAAAAUUUACCGAACACUUCGACUACUCACAGCCUUUUUUCAUAUACAGUUUACCAAACGCCUAGCUGUUUUUUUUUCAUAGCUGAUUAUUUUCGCAGCACAGCAGAAACAGUUUUUUUUUAAAGCACAACAAUGCCAAACUAGCCCUUAGUUGACUCCCAUUUAUUUUUCUGCUAUUCUAGAUCUAGUCAUUAUCAAUCACCAUAAUAAAGCUCCACUUCUUGUAGUUUCAGUUUCACCUGUGCCUUUGAUUAUUUAGAACAAUUUAGACUUUAAUGAUAUGGUCACGGUUACAGCACAAAAGACAAAUACCAAAAGCGGCCCUCGUGAAGAAGGGUAUGGUCAUUGGUCACCCUCAGUUUCACUUGUGCCUUCUCAUCACCUUCGCUCUCGCCUCCUCAUCACUCUCUGUCGUCUGUGGUGCGCAGGAGCACCACCACCACAACAACAUUAUCAGCCAUGGAGCUCUCUCCGACACCGAAGCCCUCUACAUCAAGCAGCGCCAGCUCCUCUACUACGGGGACGAGUUCGGCGACCGAGACGAGCUAGUCACGGUCGACCCAUCUCUGGUUUUCGAGAACCAGAGAAUCAGAAAUGCUUACAUGGCUUUACAAGCUUGGAAGCAAGCCAUUCUCUCCGACCCGCUUAAUCUCACGGGUAAUUGGGUCGGAUCUAAUGUCUGCAACUGUAUUCAAUUUAAUCAACUGUAGGAUUCAUUUACAAGGCGAGUGGAAGGAGUCAUCAAUUUUGAAUUAACAAGUUUCUACUGUAACGUAUAACAACUAUGUUCAUAUUUAUUGGCUGGAUAAGUUGUUAUAUUCAGCCAAUUACUAGGAUAAUGUAUGCACUUAAGAUCCAAGUCCUUUCACUUUUGUGCCACAUAGAAUUACAUUCCUUUUUUAAUAUUUUAUGAUAUAAUUUUUUAUAUUUUUUAUUUUGAAAUCAUUUUUUUGUCCAAUGUCACCCCUUAUGACUUGAAUCGGGUAAUAGUCAUUUAUGUCAUAUUGCCUGUCACCAAUUGCGUAGGUAUAUAUAUGUUUUUUCAUAUUUUUGACAAUGUGUCAUUGUAUUUUAUGUACCUUUUUUUAAUAGGUAACAUGCAAUUUUAUGUUGUCUAUUUUUGUAUCUGACUUAUAGGUAGUCUUCUAAUUUAUGUUCCUAACUUAUAGAUAACGCGAUUUAUCAUUAAGCAUUUUUCGUUGAUAAUAAUAACACUAUUUACAUGUAUGUUAGGUACAUAAUUUAAUGUGCUUGUCUGAUCGAUUGGUAUAAUAUAUGGGUCUUUACUUUUUAUUAAUUAAAUUGUAUUUUAUCCAUAUAUUAGGAAUAUUAUCAAAGAAAGAAUUCAAAUUUUAAAUUAUGAAAUUCAAUUAUAAGGAAAUAAUGCAUUAAAUUUAGAUUUUCAAUGUGGUUUCCUUAUUUACCUCAAAGGGUAAAAUUGACACAACAAAAAAAGUAAUAAAUGUCAAAGAACCGAUAUCUAAAACAAAAAACGCGAGGACUAAACCCAAUGACAGCUCUUGACAGUGUGCCUAUGGAUGAGGAAGAGAAAGUUGUGCUUGACUGAUGAUUGACGAAAACUUUCGCAAGCAAAACCUCUCUAGCAUUGCUCGUGCAAUUGAGGAGCUGUAUGGGUUUGGUGUUGUGUGAUAGAGUGUAUUAAGGUGUAUCAUGAGUAUUUUUGGUAGUUAAAUAGGGUGUACUUAGUUAAUUUUACAUUUUAAUUUAAAUAUUAAAGUGUACUUAGAUCAUAGGAUGCACCCAAUUAAUUCUAGAAUAUUCGUUUAACCACACUCUAUUAUUAUUAACAGUUUUCUAUCAAAACAAAUCCAACCUUAAGGUCCUUAACUAUUGCCUUGCAACCAUAUAUAAUUAUUGUGGUGACCUUCUCGAAUCAUCAAUUUUUAUUCAUUUAAGUUGUUGGUCAACUGUUGCAGUCAAGUUAUUCUCCUGAACUCGAGUCCCAUCAAGAAUGGGUCAAGGAGGUGAGUAAUUGUCUCACUUCCACAUGUAAACAAACAAAGGCCUCACAAAACUCUCCAAAGAAUACGCAUUCUUUGCUUCUUUUCCCUUUAUAAGAAGAAGAAAGCCCUGUCUAAUUCAUCAUCAGCAAUACAUAGAAUAGAACCAACACUAGCAAACUCAACAUCAACAAUGUCGACAAACUCUAGCACUACUGUCCUUGCCUUUGCCUUUUGUUUCUUGUCCCUCCUCAGAUUGGCUUACUCCAACACCACUGACGACAAAAUCUACCUCACCGGCCUGGUCUACUGUGACAACUGCCAAUUGAAGUCUAUGACCGAGAUCAGUAAGAUGAUUCCAGGUACGUAACGUUAAUAAGUAGGUAACAAACUACAUAAAUGUGGAUUAUAAGAUUUGAAUAUGAGAUUUAUGCAUGCAUGCAUGCACAUUGCCCAUUGAUCAGGUGCAAGGGUGCGAUUGGAGUGUAGGGAGGGCGGGAACAUAAAAUCCAGACGAGAGGGCGAAACCAACCCGCUUGGAAUGUACGUGUUUGUGUUGGAAAAAUCUAAGGAGCCUUUGGAUGAUUGUCAAGUGACAGUGCUACACAGCCCCGACCCUGAAUGCAAGAUUUCCCACGAGGUCGACCCUAACAACAAAUCGAAAACUGCGCCGGUGGCCACCCGGAAGCUCAACCUUUUGGAGGGAGACAGCGUCGUUUUCAUCGGACCAAGCCACCGCGUUUCCUACCCUCUUGGUUUGGUCGUUGAGAAAGCUCGUCCGGAGUGCGAGCAGUUCGCCAAAGCACGCAAGCAUUUUCAGAACUAAUUUAAGGAAUUGAAGACUAAAUGAAGGCGAAAACCGUCUGAUAUUAAAUCAAUUUUCAAUUUCAGUGAAUUUUUAUUUUUGAUUGCAAAGAUAGAUAAAUUGUGGUUUAAGAAAUCAACAGUUAUGAUUAUGAUAUAUGCUCGGUUAUGAUUCGUGAAUUCACAACUAGUAUAAACAAAGAAGUGUAAUUAGAAGUGCACUCAAGUAUUAUAUCCGUGAAGAUACUGCCAUGUCGAUUAAUCUAGUCUUUUUAUUUUUUACUUUAUUAAUUCUUAAUUAAGAUUCAAUUUAGGACCUAUUUAAAGAGAAGAAAAAUAUGAUUUAAAAUCUAUCUUAUAACCUAAUAAUCUCCUAAUCAAAAUACUAAACUUUUAACAUGUCACCUAUCAAUUUUGCCCUUAAUUAUACUAAGCUUAAAUUCCAUGGUCCAUACUAGUUUGAUUUUUAUUUUUUAUUUUAAUGUGAAAAUUUGGUCUUUUCUUUAAAAUAAUGUGCUAGAUAAGCGUGAAAGUAGCAAAUAAAUAAUGAUGUGUUCACAUUGGAUUUGACACACAUCUCAACCCAUAUCAUCAUUAAGGCCCCAAAAAUUGAAUCAUUAUGUGCCGGUUAAUACGUUAAGUAGUUUAUGAAGUGAUUAAGAUCAAAGGGGAUCCAUGACUUGUAAUGGAUCACUUGUUCAUUUCCUUAAAAAAAUAAUUAAAUAAAUAAACUCGCAAUACCGACUCCAUUCGUAAUUCCAUCAAUUACUCAUCUAUCAAAAAAAUUAGUUAGUUCAGCUAAUCUUCUUAUACUGUUAGUAAAGGAUAAUGUGAAAUUAGCAAAAAAAUAAUGAUUAACGGCCCAAAACAUUGAAUUAUUGUGUGCCUAAGUUAGAAAAUCUUCGAAGGCACGUAGAAAGACAGGUCCCCCAUCUAGUAUACUAUGAGGAAAAGGACGGCUCACAAGAAGUUUAUGUACUAUAAAAUCCCAGAUGCUCAUUGAAUGUCUUGUGCCCAUCCAAGAUUAAAUAUAUUUCCAUAGAAUACGUACCAAUUGUGCUUAUUUACUUUUUACCAUGGCUCUCACAAAUCGAGGCCAAUACCUCUACGUAGAUUUUCUUUUCAUUUUGGCCAUUUGCUCCUCUCAAGCAUCGUCUCGCCAAAUUUAUGAUGAGAAAACCAUGUUGGCGAGACAUGAAGACUAGAUGGCUCAAUUUGGGCCAGUUUUUUUUAUAAGGAUGCAGAGGAGAAAGAGAGGUGAUUCGUGAUAUUAUCAAGGCCAACUUGGAGUUCAUUGAGGCUUUGAACAAGCACAUGGGUCAGAACUACUUCACUCUAGACUAAGCUUAAAUGAAUUUGCAGACCUAACCAAUGAGGAGUUUCGGGAAAUUCGUAAUGGUUACAUGAAACGAUCCUCCAAAUUGAUCAUGUCCAAUUCCACGAAAGCUACAAGUUUUGGAUAUUGAAAUAUCACUGAAGUGCCACCUUCAGUGGAUUGGAGAGAAAAGGGUGCAGUGACGCCUAUCAAGGACCAAGGCAAAUGUGGUAAGUAUUAAACAAGUUGUUAAAUGAUGACGCAUUCACUGUUUCACAACAUAACAUGUUCUUGAAUGAUGAGGCAUGUUAUUUCAAUUUUAUAGGGUGUUGUUGGGUGUUCUCAGCAGCGGCAGCGACAGAAGGGGUUAACCAGCUCAAAACCGGAAACUUAAUCUCACUAUCAGAGCAAGAGCUUGUGGAUUGUGACACUACAGGUCAAGAUCAUGGCUGUGAAGGUGGUCUAAUGGAUGACGCUUUCCAAUUCAUCCAACGCAAGAAAGGCUGACAACUGAAGCUAAUUGCCCCUACCAGGGUGUAAAUGGAACUAGUUGCAACACUCAGAAGGCUGCAUCCCAAACAGUGUCCAUAAACGGCUACGAGAAUGUGCCUAAAAACAACAAAAAUGCUAUGUUGCAAGCCGUCGCUAACCAACCAAUUUCGGUUGCCAUUGACACAAGUGGUUGUACAUUCCAGUUUUAUUCAAGUGGUGUGUUCACUGGAACAUGUGGUAUAAACUUAGAUCAUGGUGCGGGACUAGUAGUGAUGGGACUCUAAAUACUGGCUGGGGAGGAAUUCUUGGGGCACGGUGGGCGGAGAGUGGAUAUGUGACGAUGCAAAUGGGCAUUCCUGCCAAGGAAGGACUCUGUGGCAUUGCUAUUGAAGCUUCUUAUCCAACCGCAUGAUUAAUUAAAAUACAUAUAUAUGUCUGUAAACACGAAUUUCCUGCGACAAAUGAGAAAAAAACACAUAUACAAAAUAAUAUUUGUAUUAAUGAAAUUUAGGGUUACAAUCUCUGUAUUGAAUCCUCUGAUUCGAUCUCCAAAGUGUUUAAAGAAAAUUUGCGAUUGAUAGAAGGGUCGUAGAGACUUGAUCUUGAUCAAACGGGUAGCACAAGGCUUGUUUGGUGUUUGGAUUUUUCUAGGAUGGAGGAACCGGCACAUAUUUGUUGUGCUUGAUGGCUCUUCCAAAGUGAGGUGAAGAAUGCAGAGAGUUUUCUGUUUCUUCUGAAUGCUUUGUCUGUCUAGGCCCCCUUCUUUCGCCUUGAGGCCUCCUAUUUAUAGGCUCCUACAGGAUGCUUGACCUAAAUAGCUUUCCUUUUUUAGGACCCUGCUUUGUGGAAUUCUGAUUUGAUUUAAAAUCAAUUCCAAUAAUUUGGCAAUUUAACCAAAUUAUCUUUGAUUGAUUGACUUGAUUAAUAUUUGAUUUAAAUCAAAGUCAAUCACAGAAGAUUCUUUCCUUUAAUUUUGUCUUCACUUCGAACUGUUUGAUGCACUUCGUCGGAUGUCAACAUGUAUCACUUUUGACAACUAAUCUGAAUUUGAUGAGUCGUACGCCACAUGAACUAAUUAUGGGCCCCACAAUUUAAUCAACCAAACCCUAAUUAUUUUCUUACUUAGUGAAUUUAAUUCACCAAAAUUUCCAUGUCUACAAUGUCAUAAUAUAGUGUGUUGUAUAAAAUAUGUAUAAUUGAAUAAUACAGAAAGACGCUAGCUAUGAGCUGCUAUCCUUCACUUUGAAAUCCAUGCCUCAGAACAUAGAGACAAUUAACCAUGACGUGGAUUUGCUCUUAAAAUCUCACGCAAUUAAUUAGCAGCUCUAGCUAUGAGGUUGAAAUGUUUUCAAUACCAUUGCAAGGUUAAAUCAAGUUAGAUUAAGGGAGCAUAUUUUUGUUCAUCAUCAUUCUCAAUACUUGACACGUGUCUAUUAGUAUAAUCAUGAUUCCUUAAAUUUAUACAGCAAAGAAUUAACUAUGGUUAUGCCAAUGAACACGUACCAAGUGUUAAGAUGGGGGGUGGAUUGGAUCUAAUGUCUACAACUGUAUUCAAUUUAAUUAACUGUAGGAUUCAUUUACAAGGCGAGUGGAAGGAGUCAUCAAUUUUGAAUUAACAAGUUUCUACUUUAACGUAUAACAACUAUGUUCAUAUUUAUUGGCUGGAUAAGUUGUUAUAUUCAGCCCAUUACUAGGAUAAUGUAUGCACUUAAGAUCCAAGUGCUUUGACUUUUGUGCCACAUAAAAUUACAUUCUUUUUCUAAUAUUUUAUGAUGUAAAUUUUUUAAUUUUUUAAUUUUGAAAUCAUUUUUUGGUCCAAUAUUACCCCUUAUGACUUGAAUUGGGUAAUAGUCAUUUAUGUCAUAUUGCCUAUUACUUGUUGCAUAGGUAUAUAUAUGUCUUUUCAUAUUUUCGACAAUGUGUCAUAGUAUUUUAUGUACCUUUUUUUAAUAGGUAACAUACAAUUUUAUUUUGUCUAUUUUUGUAUUUGACUUAUACGUAGUUUUCUAAUUUAUGUUUCUAACUUAUAGAUAACACGAUUUAUCACUCAGUAUUUUUCGUUGCUAAUAAUAACACUAUUUACCUGUAUGUCAGGUACAUAAUUUAAUGUCGGUGCUUGUCUGAUAGAUUAGUAUAAUAUGUGGGUCUUUACUUUUUAUUAAUUAAAUUGUAUUUUAUCCAUAUAUUAGGAAUAUUAUCAAAGAAAGAAUUUAUAUUUUAAAUUCUGAAAUUCAAUUACAAGGAAAUAAUGCAUUAAAUUUAGAUUUUCAAUGUGGUUUCCUUAUUUACCUCAAAGAGUAAAAUUGACACAACAAAAAGAGUAAUAAAUGUCAAAGGACCUACAUCUAAAACCAAAAAAACGAGGACUAAACCCAAUGGCCGCUAAUCGUUUUGGACCUAGAUCUAAGAAACACUUUUAUUUAUUAUCUAACAUCAUUGCAUGCCAUUGACAGUGUGCCUAUGGAUGAGGAAGAGAAAGUUGUGCUUGACUGAUGAUUGACGGAAACUUCCGCAAGUAAAUCCUCAAUGCUACCAGUUGAAGGCCCUUCGAUGCUAAAGUUAGCUUAAGGGGAUGAGAGCAAGCUAUCGACAAUGCAAGGACAUAAGUGUCAAGUAGCAAGUCUUACCCUGUAUCUGGGGUGAGGAGCUAUAUUUAUAGGGAGUUCUAGGUUUUUUUUGGUACUUAGUUUCGAUGUGGGACUCGUGGGAGUGCCUUCCGAGGCAGAAACGCGUCUCAACAAAUAUCCUAGCGAUGAACUCGAGAACAUCCUACAAGAUGCCUUCUAAGGCGUAGAAUUGGCAAAAGACCCUUAAGGUUGUGCGUAGAAUCGAUCGUGGGUGUCGAAAAGACCUACCGAUUCGUACUAUUGGGCUUGCCAGCAUGGGCCAUGGAGCCUUCUUUAGUGUCAUACCCCUUCCACGUGUCAUGGCAUGAGAUGCGGGUCAGGUUAAAUUAAUUAAACCCAUUAUGCAAUGCAUUUCCUUUCAAUUUUUUGUGAUAAACUAAUAGAUAAUUGACUAAAUAAACAUCCUCCAAAGUUUAAAAAAAAAAAUACCAAGUUUUUCUUACAAUUUCUGUAGUUUUUAUUCAAUUUUUAUCGAUAUCGAUAAUAUCCCUAUAUUUCCAUCGAAAUUUCCGUAUUUUUAAAAUGAGACACACCUAUUUUCAAUUGACUACCUAAUUAGUUAACAAAUUAUGAAAUAAAUAAAUAACAAACCAUACAAUCAUGUUUUGAUUCUAAGAUGCUGACAAGUAUGUAUGUUUUUGGGAAAAUAUAUAUUAGGGAGAAGAUAUUAUUGUACCACAUUAUGAAUCACUUUUCUGAUAGAUAUGAGACCUACUUAUAUUGGUAGGUCAUACCUUUAUUAGAGAGGUGGUACAUUAUGCAAUACAAUGAUGUAGUUUCUCCAACAUUACUUUUAUCUUUAAUCAACAUGUAGAACUGUUUCGAACUUGGAAUUGCUUUCAACAUUGGGCUACGUGGGCAGGAAUUCUAGGCUUGGCUUACAAUUCUCUCAUUCUCCAACCUCUUGGAUUUGCUUGCUUGGAUUACCUUAUUGCUGGCUCAUUUGGCUUCAGUUGAGCCACAUUUAGUGCCAAAUCAAAUCGCAUCUUUGUCAUGCCUUUGGCCUUCGAAUCCACUAUGACCUAUUUUGCUCUUCUUUCAACAGUAGUCAUGUUUGAUCCAACCUUGGCUAAGGUUUGAUUCGGCUUAGCUAAAUUUGCAUUCACCAUGUUGGUCUGGGCAGAUGGGAAAGGGUCCUUGUUGAUUGGACUCUUGUCACCCCCAAUUCGAAAAUAAAGAAUAUUCCUGAAUUAGGGUACGUGAAUUGAAUGAAAUAAAAUAAAAAGACUGAAAAAUUAGUUAAAAUACAUUUUUCUUAUAUAAAAAUAAUAAUAAACUUACAAGUGUACAAGAUAUAAAUCUUUUUUAUUUAUUAUCUAACAUCGUUGCAUGCCAUUGACAGUGUGCCUAUAGAUGAGGAAGAUAAAGUUGUGCUUGACUGAUGAUUGACGGAAACUUUCGCAAGUAAAUCCUCUCUAGCAUAGCUUGUGCCGGAAGUGCAAUUGAGGAGCUAUAUGGGUUUGGUGUUGUCUGAGUGUAUUAAGAUGUAUCAAUGGUAUUUUUGGUAGUUAAAUAGGAUGUACUUAGUUAAUUUUACAUUUUAAUUUAAAUAUUAGGGUGUACUUAAAUCAUAGAGUGUACUCAAUUAAUUUUAGAAUUCGUUUAACCACACUCUAUUAUUAUUAAUAGUUUUCUAUCAAAACAAACCCUUAAGGUCCUUAACUAUUGGCUUGCAGCCACAUAUAAUUACUGUGGUGACCUUCUCGAAUGAUCAAUUUUUAUUCAUUUAAGUUGUUGAUCAACUGCUGCAGGCAAGUUAUUCUCCUGAACUCGAGUCCCAUCAAGAGCGGGUCAAGGGGGUGAGUAAUUGUGUCAAUUCCACAUGUAAACAAACAAAGGCUCACAAACUCUCCAAAAUAUACGCAUUCUUUGCUUCUUUUCCCUUUAUAAGAAGAAGAAAGCCCUGUCUAAUUCAUCAUCAGCAAUACAUAGAAUAGAACCAACACUAGCAAACUCAACAUCAACAAUGUCAAGAAAGUCUAGCACUACCGUCCCUGCCUUUGCCUUUUGUUUCUUGUCGCUCCUCAGUUUCGCUUACUCCAACACCACCAAUGACAAAAUCUACCUAACCGGCCUGGUCUACUGUGACAACUGCCAAUUGAAGUCUAUGACCGAGAUAAGUAAGAUGAUUCCAAGUACGUAACGUUAAUAAGUAGGUAACAAACUACCUAAAUGUCGAUUAUAAGAUUUGAAUAUGAGAUUUAUGCAUGCAUGCAUGCACAUUGCCCAUUGUUCAGGUGCAACGGUGCGAUUGGAGUGUAGGGAGGGGGGAACAUAAAAUCCAGCCAAGAGGCCGAAACCAACCAGCUUGGACUGUACGUGUUUAAGUUGGACAAAUCUAAGGAGCCUGUGGAUAAUUGUUAAGUUGAAAACUGCACCGGUGGCCACCCGGAAGCUCAACCUAUUGGAAGGAGACAGCGUCAAUGUCAUCGCACCAAGCCACCGCGUUGCCUACCCUCUUGGUUUGGUCGUUGAGAAAGCUCAUCCCGAGUGCGAGCAGUUCGCCCAAGCGCGCAAGCAUUUUCAGAACUAAUUUAAGGAAUUGAAGACGAAAACCGUCUGAUAUUAAAUCAAUCUCCAAUUUCAGUGAAUUU